UCAUCUACGCUAGUGCUGCCAAGAUCAGUUUCUACGUCAAAGGGAAGAAGGAGACGUUUUUCUUCAAGAACAAGACUACACAAAUUCAAGAUCAAUCCAGACGUGAAUCAAGGAAGAGGACCAACAGGAGGAACAAGAACAAGCAAGUGUGGACCGAGUCAGCUAAGAUGGUCACUGUAGUUCAUGGAGGCCAAGAUCACCAACUUAAGUCACCGUUUUUGACCAAGAAGGACGACCCAGGAAUGCCAAGCAUCUACUGCUCCAUAAAUGGAUACAACUUCUACAAGACGAUUUGCGACACCGGAUCGGGCGUCAACAUAAUGGCCACAGUCACCUAUCGGCUCUUGUUCGGGACCAUGCCACUAAGACCAACAUACAUUCAGCUCCAGAUGGCAGAUCAGACAUUUCGAGAAGUUAAAGGAAUAGUAUCUGAUGUCCUAGUCAAAAUAGACGAUCACUUUGUCUACACAGACUUUCAAGUUGUUGACAUGGGAGAAGAUGAAUAUGAUCCACCCAUCAUCCUUGGAAGACCAUUCCUCAGCACCGUUAAAGCAAUUAUCUAUAUUGGAACCGGAGAAGUCCAUAUGCACUUCCCCUCAGAGAAGGUACGCCGUUAUUUUAUUGACCAUGACUAUAUCAUUGAAGAAUCUAAGCAGGUCAGAAAAAGACGCAACCGCAACCAGAGGAGGCAGAUCAUCAAGGACGGAUGGGCAGACUAUGAAGGAGAAGUUGUAAGGUCAGAAGACGUAGAGUUUAAACAGAAUUAUCCAGACGAGAUUGAAGCACCGAGUCAGGUAUGGAAAAUGAAGAUAACUAUACAAGAAGAGGAGGCGCUGCCGGAAGUACCGACUACGCCACCCAACGAACCUCAGUACAAUUAAGAAAUUGGAGAGUCCCGUUCGGAGGACUUAAAAACACCGAACGCCUUGCCAAGAGGUAAACUUGGUAGUUAUCCUUUCCCUUUCAGUUAUUUCAAAUAGUUUACUUAGUUAAUCAUAUUCACACUAUCUUAAAAAGAAAAUAAAAAUGUGAAAAAACAGUAAGCCCCAUGUGAGUAGACGAGUGGCAUAAAACCCAUAAGUACAUUCACUGUGGUGGCAUAAAAAUAAAAUAAAUAUUUUUCUGCUUUAUAAAACAAAAAUAUAAAAACAAGGAGUAACAUUUAUUAAGGAGUUUCAAGAUAAUAAAGGCUAGAUAUUUAUGCUAACACUUAAUCAGUUCCACAAGCUUUGUUGUCUAUUUGAGCUCCACAGAAAUUUAAGAAUCAAGAAGACUGGCAGACGGAGGACAUUCUAGUCGCUGUCAGAAUGCUGCUGACUUUCAACUACACCUCUGCCACCUGCUAGCUACAUCAAGAGAAAUUACGUCAAAAUUCAGCUUGGGGGAGAGCACCCCCAUUUAUCACGAUAAGUAUUUCUAUCUAUCUUUAUACUUAUAUUAUUUUAGAAUAUUAAAAUACACAUAAACUAUGGGAAAACCAAAUAAAGAUUUUAUGCUUAUAUAUGUCUUUUGCUUAGUGUGUUUAAUAAAUAAAUAAAGUGGCUAUGCUAACCUGUAUCUAAAUAAAACUUAAGCAUGGAUAUGAUAAAUAGUUGCUCUGCCUAAUUUACAAAUUUUAAGUUCUCUCUCAAGUUUAGAUAUAACUGUUAUAAUUUAAAGCUUGCUCUAGACCUAAACUUGUGGGAUGAAAACUUGAUCUGAAGUCUAAGUUAUUAACGGAUAUGAUAUGGGAAGGUUGAGCUGCUGUUUAUCUGUUCCUAGAGAUGCUAGAAUUCUGGAGAAUUUUAUCUUUGAAAAUCUUUAAAAUGUUGCAUGAUGAGUUCCUGUAUGAUGAGAGUUUAAAUUCCUACCACAGCCAUAUAUACAUGCUUGCUAGACUUUGAGCCACACAUUUAAUAUUUACUGCUUAUGAGCAUUGAGUGUGGUCAAGCUGUGUAGACCCUUAGGAGCUUGUCAUGUGGUUAAAUCAAGAUUUCACUUGCACGUUCACUCAUAUAUGCUACUUCUACUCCAGAAGUACCAUCCGCAUAUAUCCACCCAUUCCAUCUCCAGAAUCACCCAAAAAUAUUCUACUCCUAAUCCGGGAGAGAAUAACCAAAAAUAUUUCUGUUUUCCCCUUGUGAAAUAAAUGCUCAAGUUAUCUUGUUACUACCACUUGCUAUAUUAUCUCAAGAGAUGAGUGCUCUAAAAAAAAUAUACGAGGAAAUAAAAAGGAGCAAGUGCUCGGAACCUCGAAAGAAAAGAAAAAGUGAGACGAGAGGUAAAAAUGGACAAGUGUCCGACAGUAGAAUUAGGGGUGCAAGAUACCCACCUAAAAAAAAGAAAAAAAAAAGAAGAGCAUCUCAUUCUCCUCAUAAAGUUUCAAUAGCAAGGAAGGUAUGUAUCCCCUCAAAAGAGCAAAGUAGAAUUAGACUUCCACCACCAUUGUUUUCACCAUUGUUAUCACCAUCACCACCAUACACCAUUCAUUCGCCACCCAUGCACAUCUUGAUUUGACUUAUUGAUUUGUUUCUUUGGAUCCAUGGUUUGACUAUGCAAUAAAUGUCUUGUAAGUAUGUAUAUUUUAUCUCCCACCUAUGAGCUCCAGAUAUUAAGGCCUUAUUAGAGUAGGGUGAGAGAGAAGGCAAUGUCACUAUGCCUUAUACCACAAAUACUACAUAUCUUGAGAGAAGGCAUAUACCAUCAAUGCCUUGGUAAGGAUCUAAAAAUACCACAAAAGAGAGACCUGAGAGAAUCAUACAAGGAAUUUCUGAGUUUUAUUUGAAAAUCUGCAAAAACCCCAGAGCUAUAGCUGAUCAAGAAUAAGAGACAUGGCACUUGGCUAGACUGUUCUAUCUUUUAACCACUCAAGACAGAAGUGACGGUUACAAGUCCCAUGGUGAAGGUAAAGAAAGUAAGUUUUAAGUCUUGACAGUUUACUCUUACUCAGAGAUGAGAUCUUAUUUAAAAAGCAUGUGUACCGUCAAAUUUUUUUUAAAAAAAAAUAUAUAUAUAUAUUGCAACAACUUAUGAUCCAUAGCUGAGUCUAUCUUUGCUCGGGGACGAGCAAGAGGUAAGCUUGGGGGAGUUUGUUGACGGUCCUUAAGUAUCAAAUUUAAUUACCAAAUAAAUAAAGAAAAGGAUCCAAAUGAAAUCAAGAUCUAGACUUAGGGUUUUAUCUGACAGAAUUCCACGAGUUUUGGUGUUUGUCUAUUUCUGCUGGGGGUUAUCAGGAAAUAUGGAAGAAAGGCCCACAUGUCAGGAUUACGUAAAGAUAUUAACGUGUUGCGCAAUUAUCUUACAUCUAGAAGACUCCAGAAGCCACGAGACCGAAGCGGAGGCGAAACGGGGCCAGACCCUGGGCGGCCGCCCAGUUGGUCAGGGCGCCCGCCCUGCCCCUGAGUCCAAUCAGGACUCUGCUUUGCGGGAGAUCUCCACCGACCUAAAGGAUGAAUCUAAACCAUACAAUCUAUGUCGGUUUGAUCCAAGGGCCCAUAUUCACUUGAAGGGACUAUAAAACCAGACCCCCUGGCCCCUGGAGGAGAGAGCCUCUCAACCCUAAUUCAUUGUUCUUCAAGGGAGAAGAAGCCUCUGAUCAAGAUUAGAGCCACCACAUCAAUUAGACAUCUAGAUUAGCAUAGCUACAUAGGAUUAGAACUAGGAGGAGUCAAUCUUCUAUUGGUUUCCGGAUCUGUCAGGAGGAUUCUUGGUAAUUCUCUAAUUGUGCUUCUAAUUGCUUUCUAAUUAUCUUUGUUCUUCAAUAUUAUGAUUAUGACUUUGUUCUACUUCAAUAUAUUGCUUAUGACUUUGCUCUACUUGCUUAUAUUCAAGAUUAUAUUGUUCUUAGUUUAUCAUAGUUAUGUACUUGGCUUAGUUAGAUACGAUCUAUAUACAUGCUUAGGAUCGUAUAGCCUUUAUCCAUCGGAUCCAUGGGUAAAUGAUAGAUAUUGUGUAGGCGUGGUGCUUAUACCGUAUUUAUCUGCGAUUGUACCCAAUAUGCCAGAUCGUGUGGUGGUUCGUGAUAGUGACAGCUUCAUUGAUUCUUAUAUAGUCCCCCUCUCGUGUAUUGGGCUGGCAGAGCAACAUUAUUACAGGGGAGUGAUUGCUAUGUUUCUCAUAUUCCUUGCUAAUAUCACCUAUGCAUGGGCGUAGUCUUGUCUCACAAUGAUUGCUAAGUAUGCUUGCACUAACUAUGAUAAUGCUAGACUAUAUAGUUGAGAAUCACUUAGGGAAUAUUCUUGUAGUUCGUUCUAAUACCAUGCUAAUGACUUUCUAGAGUAUCUAAUUGAGGUGCUUAUCAUAUUUAUUAUGUGGCUAGAUCAGAUUAGUUAUCCUUGUCACUAUUAUUACUUCAUAUAUCUUUUAUGUGACACUUAUCCCUGUAUGAAGAGUUAGAUAUAAUGUUCUCAAUUAUACAUGCAAUGAUAGAUGCUCAAUCUCAUAUUCUAUUCUGUAAUCAAUAUUGAUGAUUGUUAAUCCCUUCCCAGUGGUAAAAAUAUAAAUAACAAUACCUGGAAUACUUCUCGGUUAAAAUGUUGCAUCGGUAUUAAUCUGUGCGCUUGCAGAUCCCAUUCAUUAUUUAUUUAGAAGAGCAAUUGCAUAUUUCAAUACCGCGUCUCUUAUAUCAUGCUGGGGAUGACAACUUGGCUUAAGUGGUAUGAGGGAUAGAUUUGGCAUUUUUGGCACCGUUACUAGAUUUAGAGAACUUAGUCUACUUUUGGUAAUGAUGUUAAGAAUACCCAACAAUACCCACUCACGGGUUGAAAUGCUACAAUGAUAGUUCCGUGCGCUUGCGGAUUUAUCCUUAUUGAACUAUCGAUUGGUGUACCUAAGUACUGUUACUUAAGAUUGUAAUCCUCGUGUACGCCUCAACGGCGCCAUGCCACAGUAUUGCAUAUCGCAAGUAAGGAUGGUUAGGAAAGCCGAUCUGGCAGUUCUAAUCAUCAGUACCAGACUGCAUUACUUAGGCCUGAGUCGUACGGACCGAGAGUUACCUUUCUAACGUAAUGGUGCUUAGGAAUGUCAAUCCCAACAUUUCUGAUGCCGUUGCUAAGGAUGGAUUUAUAGUCCAUCUUUCGUAGUGACGCUAAGAAUUGCCAACAAGCAUUUUUGGCGCCGUUGCCGGGGAAGGCAAAAGGAAAUAAAAACAUCUAGCUUUGGCAUUUAGCACUGAUUACAAAAUAAGCAAAUGGUAGCCAUAGUUUAGGCAGGUUAACUUCACUUGUUUUCUUCCUCUUUUUAUUGGAAUGAAAACAGGAUAGUGUAUGAAUGGCUUGACAUGUCGAACAACUUCAUCAACAAUCCGGAGGCACUCCUAAGGAAGAACAGGUCUCGGACCACUUCUUCUUCUACUACUCCACUGACAAACAAACCAUUCACCCCCCACCAUCCGUUUGAACUGCCAUGGCCAGGUCACUCCGUGACUAUUCCACCCCCGUUGCUGCCAACGUGCCCGUUGGGCCCGCAGUCAACACUGGGAAUGGAAAAUUCGAGCUUCGCACUGGCCUACUCACGAUGGUACAGGCAAACCAGUUCCAUGGCUUGCCACAUGAGGAUGCAAAUGCUCAUCUUCAACACUUCCUUGAGUUGUUCAACACCAUCGUCAUCAAAGACGUCGCAUCAACUAGCAUCAAGUUUUGCCUAUUUCCUUUCUCCCUUGCGGGGAAAGUGAAAUAGUGGUUCUACAAGAGCAAGGAAGCUGCCAACACAUGGGACAAAUGUUCCACAACAUUCCUCAUCAAUUUCUUCCCCUUGAGCAAAAUCAGUGCUCUAAAGAGGGAGAUAUCCAACUUCUAGCAAACAUCACUCAAGUCCAUCCCUGAAGCAUGGGAAAGGCUGCAGGACCUUGUCUGAGCCUGUCCCCACCAUGGAAUGGAAGAUUGGCUUGUGCUCUAGAACUUUUAUGUGGGCCUGACAACCAUAUCAAUGGAGCACCUUAACGCCACAGCUGGAGGGGCAUUCCUCUCCCUCACCAUCGAGAAUGCCACCACACUCAUCAAAAAGAUUGUGGCAAACCAAAGUUGGGGAGAAGGAAGUGAAACACAAGACGGCAUGUAUUCCAUGAAGGAGACGGGAUUGCUUGUUGCAAAAGUAGACCUCCGAAUAAAGAGGUUGGACGACCAUGCCACCAAGCUCACCAAAGGCACCGUCCAAACCAUGGGCUCACACAUGAAGUGUGAAGUCUGUGGAGAUGUUGGCCAUUUGGGGAACAACUGUCCCGAAACCCAGGAAGAAACAUCCUACAUCAACAACGGGUUUCGCCAACAUCAGCAACCAGGUAAUAAUUGGUGGAACAAUCAUAACCACCCACAAGGUAAUUCUUCCAACUUCAAUAUGAAUUACGAUUUCAAUCAUCUUUCCUUGAGAAGCUUCGUUUUAGAGCAACCUAAGUUUAAUGCAUAUCUUGCUAAAAACUUUCCUUCAAUGAUAGAAUGUUUGAAUCUAUAAAUGCUAUGCUUGAAACUCUGUCUUCUUUUGUUGAACGUCGGCUGAGUCUCAAUAAAAUGAUAAAAACCUAGUUGCUCAAAUUGUUGUUUCAUUUCCUGUCAACAAUAUGGGAAAUAUCUUGGGGCAACCCAAGGUUUCUCCCAAGUUUGUUCAUGCAGCUGGAGAGCAAUGAAGAGGAGGAAGUCCUGCCAACGGACUAUAAAUGAUGAGCCCGUGCCGAAGGCAUUCGGUAGUUAUCUAAAAAAACUAUAUAUAAUAAAAAUAAUUUUUGUGCUAUUUGUGUCCAAAUAAAGAUAUUUGGAGGGGGCCCACGACAUCAAGCAAGCUUGGGGAGGUGUCCCCGCUCAGGUAUUAUGUCUUUUUAAAUUCUUUAAAUUUCGUUUUAAUUUCCCUUUUUAUAGAAAUUUUUUAUUUUUAGUUUCCAAAAGUUUCUCUUUCUAUAGUUCUUUUUUAGUCAAAAAUAAAGUUUCUUUGAAAAUCUUAUAAAAAUUAUUUUCUCAUAGUAUAGAAUUUCCCAUUUCCAAAUCUUAUUUUUAUAUAAAUUUUUGAAAACCAAAAAUAUUUUGAAUAAAUUGUGGAAAAUCAAAAUCUGGAGCAAAGUUUCGAACCAGGUUUGAUCAUAACCAAAGAGACGUCGGGGAGAGCUGUUGGAGCCAGCAGCCAAAAGGCUGGGUAGAGGCGGGCCCACCACUGGUGCGGGCGCACCAGGGUGCAGGCGCACCCUGCCCAAGGCCUGCUAGCCUCGGCCUUUGGGCAACGGCUAGUAGUCGUUGAGGGGGGCGCUCCCCCGCCUGUGAUCAACUCUAUAAAUAGAGAUGAUCCCGGGUGGAGCACCUCACCCCUCUCACACACAGUUUUUUUACUCUUCCCUUCAUCACUCUCUUGCUCCACUUUGCUUCAUAGCCUACUCCACAAGCUUAGUGCAAGAAAAUUUUGUCAAAAACCUCUUGCACACUUCCCUCUCCAAGCAAAAACACCAUACACUUGUGCUAGCUUGUCCACCAUGAAUAGAAUUUUCGGGCUUAGAAGGAGCCGCCACCAACACGGGGAAGAUCCACCAACCCCUGCAAGGAACAAGCAGCCGGCACAUGGAGGAGAGGAGGAGGAGCCACACGGCCACGCCAUUGACGAGGCUGACGCCCCCUUCAACGACUUAGAGAGCGAGCGGGAGAUGCAGGCAUACAACCUCAUGAAGGAACGCGAGUUCCUCCAUUCGCCAGCAUUCGACCCAGCAUUCUUGCACCAAAUAGGUACGGACGUUGAGUUUGAUACUAUUUUCGAGCAUCUUGGUUGGAGUAGAGUUGCCCCCGUUCAUGAGCUUGGGUCACGUCUUUUGACGAUCCAAAUUUUGGGCACUCUACAAAUUGUCGAUUAUGGUAUUACCUUCCGUUGCUUUGGAAAAGAUUUUGGUAUUUAUUGGAAGGAUCUUGCCAACCGUUUGGGUUUCCACGAGCGUUGCUCCAUUGACUUAGGUUUCUCCCACGGGGGUUACCAAUGUCAUGCUUUCUGGCAUUUGAUCUCUGGGCAACACGUUGUUGGAAAGUUUCAGGGGCAUUCUACCAACAUCCAUCACCCCACUCUGAGGCUUCUCCAUAAGUGGAUCGCUAGUUCGUUCUUUUCAAGAGAUGAUACGCAUCUUACUUAUGACAUAGAAUUGAAGUUGCUUUAUGCUGCGCUCAAAAGAUCAUGGUUGCACCUGUUCUUGAGCUUGUUAAUCAUUGGUUGCAUUCCAUUAAGACUUCAACUGCUAUCAUGUGCACAUCUCUUAUUACUCGCCUUGCUGCAAGUAUUGACCCCCAUGCUGCUAAUACCAUUAUUUACAUCACUACUCCUCGCAUCAUGAUUAAUGAAUCACAUCUUUCGCAUGCACAUAUGAUUAAACACGACGAAAUAGGUAAAAAGAUUUUAUAUUAUUUUCUAGGAUAUACAAACGAGAUCCAGUUACCUAACCCGGAUCUCGCUCUAUAUAAUUCCCCAUCACUCACCUUCACCCUCAUUGAGAGGGAAGGAGGACGCAGGAGCUCUGUUUCACGCAGGAACUCACGGAGGAGGGAACAAGAAGAGCAGGCAGCACAAGCAGUAAGGGCAACACAACCAGCACCAUCCGCACAGCCAGCAGAGCACACUCCACCACCAGCUAUGCUAGGGAUGUGAUGGACCCCUGCUAUACCUGCACCCGGAUUUACCCCUGGAUAUGGAUAUGGUAUGGGAUACGUUCCUCACCCCUACGAGGCUGGAGGUUCGAGCUGGCAGGCAGGAGGGUCGAGCUGGUAGGCGCAUGGAGGCGUAGGCCCAAGCGAGCCAGAGGCAUAUGGGGCAGGGGGAUCUAGGCAUCACGAGCCAGGACACUCCUCAGAUUCCGAGGGAAUGCCACCCCCUGUUUGCCCUCAGGUCACACUGGACGUCCUCAACACUCGCAUGGGAAGACUGGAGCUCCAGAUUAGGCUGAUCCAAGGUAUGCUGAAUGCCCACAUCCAGACUGCUACCCAAUGGCAUCAGCAAACCCAGCAGAGCUUCAUCGACCUUGAGGAUGCAAGCCAUCGCUGACACGAGGCACAGAUGGCCUACCUGCGAUCCAUGGGACAUUUCCGUGGACCGCAGCAGUGAGCUAGCUUAGGGGAGGGCCCCCACAAGAGGUAACAUGUAUCUUACAUUCUUGCACUUAAUUUUAAUUCUUAAUUUCAGUAUUUAAAUUUCAGCAAUUUUUCAUCAUAUUUCAAAAAAAAAUCGACUCUCAUGUGCGCUAUGAUAUGUUAGUUUCUCUUCUGUUGAAAUGAUGAAUAGUUGCUCUAUCUAUAAUUCUCUAGUAUCUAAGUUAUAAUUUAGUGUUCAUCAAGAUUUAUGUUUGUUGGCUAAAAAUGUAUCAUUCUGAGAACUUGAAAUCUUAUGGGUUACAAACGCAUGAUCCUUUUCUAAGUUGUUGCGAGACAUGAUAUGGUAUAAAUAGAUUUCGCUAUGACUUUGUUCUAAGAAAAACUUGACAUCCGGAGUUUUCUUUUCAAAAAUUCAAAACAAAGAGUUCCUCAAUGAUUAUGAAAUACCUACCAAGGCCAUAUGACUUGCUUAGUAGUUUGUACACCUUUAGUCAUAUGCGGCUUGCGGCGCUUUGAACUGAGUCAAAUCCUAGGUAUCCUAGAGUGAGAAUAUGGUCAUGCAUCCAUGAUAUGAGAUUCACGCACCCACUAAAUAAAGCCGACUCUCACACUGAGAAGUUGCGCACAACAUGCACCUUCCAUCCACCAAAAAUACACCAACUCUUACUGUGAGAGUUGCGCCUUAGCUUCCACCAAAUAAGCUCUCACCCUGAGGUUUGUGCAUCCCCAUACACAAUUUUACUCCUUACAUCACCAUCAUGACAUCUCUCCAUUUUCCUCUUUGAGAUCCCUUCGAAACAUGUGGGCAUCAGUUAUCCGUGAAAAAAAAGAAAGAAAAAAAUUUGAAGGAAAAGCCAAAGGGCAUGGACGAGAAAAAAUCAAAAUCCCCGUCAGAAAAUAUAUAUAUAUGUAUAUAUGAUCCAUUUUUUUAGGGCCCAUAUGUUUACAUUUUCUCAUUCUCUUUCUUAAAUAAAGAGAGUCAUGAUACAAGGAGUAACCAAAAAUAUUUAGAUAGGACUACCACAAAAAAUUCCACACACUUGCACAUCUCAAUCAAGGUGUAUGACCUGUAUCUCCUCAUGGUCCGGGAUUUAACUUGGCAACACAAGUGUCGUAAGUAUGCCCACCUUUAUACCUUCCCAAAGCUCCAUUCUCAGCCUUAGUGGUAGGUUUAAAGGCAAACAUAAAUGCCUUUGGUAAGGAUUUCAUUCACAUUGAGCGAUCGAGAGAAUCAUUCGAGGAACUUAUUUAUUUUGCAAAAAUUUAUAAAACCUUCGGAUUGAUGGUCUAUCAAGGGAUGAAUGAAUAGUGAGUAUGUUACAACCAUUCAAUCUUGCAACCACCCAAGAACUUGGAAAAGCUAUAAGCCCCAUGAGAAGUCAAGGUAAAGAGUGGAUAGCAUGACAACUUAUUUAAAAUGCGAAUGAAUGCUUUGUUAUAGGUAUGGUACUCUUGAAUUAUAUUGGCAUAGUAGCAACUCCUGAUCAACAACCAUGUAACACCCUAGGUGUUAAGCAUGCAAUUAGCCUUGGCAAAGAAAUGCAUAAGCAUCCUCAUCAAUCAUAAGCAUGUCAUUCUCUUCAAGUAUGAUUUUAUGUGCAUCAUUUCAUGAGUUUUAAACAUGUUAAAAUGUGAUGCUUGCUUUAAAAAUUGUGAAAUAGUCAAACUAGGUUGGUUUAUGUGUAAGAAGAAUUAAGAACAUUUUUGUGCAAUUUUUGGAGCUAUGGAAUUUGAGAAAUGGGAUUUAUACAAAAAUAUCCAAAAAGAAUUUAUUUCAAACCUAGAACUGAGUUUUAACUUGUAAUUCAAAUUCUGUUUGGAAUUUGGUCUUGCUUGUUAAGGCAAAGUUGUAGAGUUUUUGUUUUGGAACAACUUUGUUUUUGGGAGCAAGAGGUGAAAAUGAUUUUAAAUUGGUCCAAAUGAAUUUAGAAAGAAUUUGAGAAAAGAAUUUCAAAAAAAAAAGAGAAAGGGGGCAGGCGCUGCUGGGCCGACCCGCCUCCCUUCUGGCCCAGCUGGGCAGUGCGGCCCGCUCCCCCUCCUCUCUCUCCCGCGCGCGCGGCGCCCACCUUGCUCCACCCGGCGCCGGCCACGUGGCGGCCGUACGCCGGCGUUGGGCGCGCCGCGGCCGGCCUCUAACCCCCCCUGGUCGGGACGCCGGCGCAGGCUCCCAGGCCACUCCCUCCAUUCUGUCUCCCCCGCGCCCUCCUUCUCCUUCCUCCUCCACUCGCACCGCGCAGCAGCAGCCGCUCCUCCGCGCGCCAUUGCCGGAGAGAGCUCCGCCGCUCGUCGCCGGCCACACCAGAGCCUCAAGCUCGACGCCGAGAGCACCAGGGCACUCGCCGUCGCUAGGGUAAGCUCGUGCGAAUGUUCUACCGAGGUGAGAGUCCGUCGAGCGCUGUGAAUCGCUCGCCGGAGUUACCCCGAGCUCGCCGGAGUACUCCGCCGCGACGGAUCUAGCGUUUCCCUGCCUCUUUUCGCUCGUUCUCUGUUGCGCUAGGUCGGUAGGAAGGUGAGGAAGCUCGGAGAGACGUUUGCGCACGCUCUACCGCGCCGGAGCAGCCUGGCCACGGCGAGCAGCGCCGCCGUGCCGCCAUGCAUGCUCGCCGGAGGUGUUCCGGCGGUCCUCUGGUCGAUCCAAGGGUACCGCUGGGUGCGUCUUGCUGCGGGGAGCACGUUGGUGCUCACCCCGUGGCCGGAGACCUCACUGCCGGCGAGAUCCGCUCGUCGGAGGUGAGCUCCCUCUCGGUCUCGCUGACUGGUGGGGUCGGGGACCCACUGUCAGUCGCAGGGGUACCCCGGUGGGUGUAGAUCUGGGUGUGCGUAGCAUUUUUCGUCGGUUUUCUUGAAAAAGUGUUUUCCAGAAAUUGAUUUAAAGUUUGUAAAAUCUAUAUCUUGAGUUCUACAGCUCCAAAUUGAAUGAAAUAAAUUUUGGUGUGCUCUAUAUUUCCAGAUCUACAGUUUGAUGUAAUUGCAUGUCAUGUUGGAGUAACUUUUCUGUGUGAAUAUAUUUUAUCCAUGAUUUUGUUAAAAUUGGAAAAUGCAUAGUAAAUAAAAUAUGGCUCAGAAAAAUGUGAAACUUGAUUUGUUGGCUUUGCAUGUGUGGUUGCUCACUGGGAAAAAGUGGGUACAUAUUAUUUGGUGUAUAAAUGAAUUUAUGGUAAUUUAAAUGCUUGCAUGGCAGUGAUUUAUGAUUUUUAAUAAUUAAUUGGGUCAUGCAAUAAAUCUGGAAAAUUUUGUGGGUGUUUCUUAUGAUAUUAUGCAAAUUGUAAAAAUAUGAAAUCUGUUGUUUAACACUUGUAUCCCAGUAGAGUGAUUUUACUUGCCUUAUUAAUUAAUCUUGUAAUUUUUGUGGCUCAAAAUAAGUAUCCAAAAAUCAUGAAAAAUUUACAAUAGACUUUAUGCUUAGCUGGUAGUCUCCUGUAAUUUUUGUGGAAUUUAUUGAUGAACAGAAUUGCAUUUGAUUUUUAAUGGGCUUAGAAAUGAAUAAAGAAAACUAUGAAGGGUGUAUAUAUAUAUAGGUUGAAUGGAAUAAGUUGGGUUUGGUGUAUCUUUGAAGCAUCAUGGGGGUUGCUGGUUGCAUUUGAAAAAUAUCUAUAGAAGAGAAUGCAACAGAUGCUUAAUUUAGUUAUUGUUCCCGGAUGAUGUUGACUACCUUGUAAUAAGCAUGACCAAGUGCAUCACCUAUGCAUCAUAACAUGACUCCUUUGACACUCUCUCUUACAAGCAUCCACUCGGGCAUCUCACACUCUACUCAUGAGCAUAUAUGCAUCAUACAGGCUCGCAGGAGAACGAAGUGGGACCCGAGGAACCCGAGGAGAUACAGGAGCAGGAACCUCCGGAAGCACAAGAACCCGGAGAGGAAUUGCAAGAGUGUCCGGAUCACCGACCCAGCACGUUUGAGAAAGGCAAGCCCCGGAGCAUUCUAAGUCUCCCUAUUCUCGCUAACUUAUAUAAAGUGCUAUACUUGUUCUACUGUAGUGCAUAUUAAGUGAUAGGAGUUGCCUGAUACCGUUGCUGCAUGAGUACUCCUUGUUAUUUCUACUCAUUCAACUACCUUGUCCUAUGUAGAUAGGCACGGAGUCUAUGCUUAGCUUGCUUAGUUCGGUAGAAGUCGGGUGAUUCCCUGUCACCUGCGAGACAUAGGUGGAUACCUGCUUGUUUAAGCAUUGGUUGCUCGGGGAAAAGAAUAACCAAGUGUGGAAUGAAUUUGGAGACCGGGCAGGGUCUUAUGGUGGGUUGACCAUGGUGCCCCUGCCUGUGUCGAUUAAGGACCGAUCGUUGACGGCCCUCUUGUCAUGUUGAACGCAUGCCCCACACUUAGCUGGAAGGAUAAGUCGUUCCGACCGCGAAGCCUAAACACUAUCCGGGCCAGGAAUCGAGCCGCCAUGCGCUGUAUUGGUGAUGGUUGAGGAGAACGACGAGGGCGCGGCGCGCAACCUUGGUAUACCUUGGAUACCUCGGUCGCCAGAACGGUCCUCGGGUACUGGCGGUGCCUGCCGAACCCGCGAAUUGGUCCUGGAUAGUGUAAUACGGUGAUCUGUAGCUCACUUGAUCAGUGAGUGUGGUUUGUGUGGGGAAUACCUCGCCAGCAGGUUAGAAAUCGAUUCGAAUCGCCAUCGCUCCUGGAUAGUGAGCACUUGACAUGAGCUUCGUCCUCAUAGUAAGGACUAUGGAACACUCGGGUUAUAAUGAUGAAUGGUUUAAGAAAUGCUAUGAUGAGGUAUUAUCAUAGACUCAUACUUGCUUGUAAUAGCACAGGAGCAAACCUAGAUAAUAGGUAAUGAUACUUUCAACUUGAGCAGGUUAAAAGAAGAAAAGAUUUAUGUAGGUUAGGGUAAUAAAACCUUGCGGUCUUUGCAAAAUGGUUGUCAGCUACCCCACUAAAUAGCCUUCAUGAUCCUUGAUGAGUCUUUAUUUUAUGUUUUAUGGCGGGUAAGUCUAGCUGAGUACCUUCUCGUACUCAGGGUUCUAUUCCCAUGUUGUUUUGCAGAUGGUCAAAUGUACUAUGGUUAUUGCAUCCUCUGUCUGUAGCCAGCUAUGGGUGAUGACUAGACCAAGGGCGAUGGUCACUCUGUCUCUUCCUUUGCUUUUGUGGGAAUGACCAAACUAUGGCACUGUAUCAGACUUAUCGUGUGUGUUGUAAUUUCGAACUAUGAAGCUUCCGCUACUUGAAGAACUUGGUUUGUAAUAACUUAAGUACUCCGAUGUGUUUCCUGAAUGAUGUAAUCUGAAUGUACUUAUGGAUGGCGGCCGCUAAACUUAUUACGAUCUUGGCUGUAUGCGAUGUGUGGUUUGAAAUCCUUCGAGAUUUCACGGACUACCGGGAUUAUAUGGGCUUAAGCGUGAUGGUUCGGCUAUGCAAAUGGUCACUAUUAGGCUUAAUCUCUUAUAAUUUGGUCGGUUCUGUUACAGCUGGCAUCGGAGCCAGGUUUAGCGAGUUACUGUUCAUAAGUACGUUUUAAACAAAAGUCUAAACCGGUUUAGUAAAAGAUUUUAUUAAUUAAUUAAUAAUGAUCAAGGUGUUAAACUAAGUUUUGGGAAAAUUAUCUAGUGUGCCAUGGUCAUAUCCUUUAUGCCCAGUUAAGGACUCUAAGGUGGCUAGCUAAGUACUGACUUGGGGGUUAAUGCAUCAUAUUUUUAUUUCGUCGCUCAUACGGCGUGCAAUAGUAUGAGUGCCAUUCAUUUGAGUGGUAAUGUAUGGAUCAAUUCUUCCUCUACGCCAUGGUAAGUGGGAGUUGUGAGAGCAUGAUCGGAUACACUGCCGGUCUAGGGAAGUGUUGUCAGGUGCUGUGUCAUGCACACAUGUUGGUGUGUCUUGGGAACAAUACCGCAUGCUGGGAAUUCCGUCCUGAGAGGCGAUGCCGUCAUUAGGGCGAUGAUGUGGGUAGUGACACGUCACAUGCAUGGACGGGUGUCUGUGUAUGUGAAGUGUAUAGUUUUAAAUUUUGUUCUGCACGAUCAUACUGUGGGUGGGCUGAAAUGAGUUUUCUGCAGGUACCCUAACCACGUUCUCGCUUAGAACGCUAGUUACGUUAUGAGCGAACGUUGUAUGCCACCGCGUAUACCGCUUAGUGUUAACCUUUGUUUUCUAAGUUUGUGAGAUCGUAAGUUCGUACAUGCAUCAUGUGCAUUUCAUAUCAUUGCUUACUUUCCCCCUUAAUUUAAUCUGUCCCAAUUUUAAAUGAAAUAAAUAAAGGUAAUCCUCGCUCUUACCCAUGGUAUUCCAUUUGCAGCAGAUGGCACGCACUAGGCUCACCGCUCGCAAGUCCACUGGUGGGCGGGCCCCUCGCCGUCCGUUGGCAGCUAGGAGCUCGCGACAUAAGAGCAAGUUCCUAGAGGAGUUUGGGAUGCCCACUUUGCUUUGGAGGGUGCUCAGUUCGAUGGGGUAUCCCGAAGGAAGGGAGCCUCGCUACUAUUGGGAUAAGGAGCCGCUUGGUGACGAGACCCUGGUGGGGAUCGAGGCAGUUGUCCCUACCAGUGGAGGAGACCCUGCUUGGGGCGGUUGGGUGUACGAGUCCCGAGGUGUCACGCCUUUCCACGGUGCCAGCAGGGCAGCUUUCGCAGUUUGGAGGGACCUCAUGGAGAGGUUUCCACAGGAGCUGGCCCACGCCUUCGCUGGGGUGUUUCCCCGGGGUGACCCUUACACUUCGGUGUGGGAUCAGUCCGAGGUGAAUGCUCUAGAGAGGAGUGCGGAUGAGGACCAGCACAGUGACAGUGCAGCUAUGAGUGCCAUGUACGCGUUGAUGAAGACCUAUAGAGGCCUGGAGCGUUGUUUGGGUCGCUUGUCCGGGUCUCUUCUCACCGUCCAGGAUGAGAAGCGUCAGUUGCAGCGUGAGUUUGACUCUGAGGUUGAGAGGCUACAGGCAGAGUUGGCUCGUGUGACCAGAGAGAGAGACCAGGCAGUCCAGAAGAACAGUGAGCUGAGUCAGGACCUGCUUGUAGUGCGGGAGCAGAAGGACAGGGUGACUACUGCUCACAGGAACUGCGAGCGCAUGCUAGUCCAUGUGCUUGGACAGAGGAAUGAAGCCUGGCACGAGGAGGACACUUUGAGGGCCCGACAGCUGGAGCUAGAGCAGCAGCUAGCUAAUGCCGAGGAGUACAAUGAGAACUUGCAUGAGGAGAUCCACCAGCUGCAUAACCAGCUCCACCCUCACCACCUGCCUGGAGCAGCGGAGCUAGACUCUGAGGACGAGAUGGACGCGGAUCCCGAGAUAGGAGCAGCUGCUAGUGGUGACGAGGAUGAGGAUGGCUCAGGCAUGGACAGUGAUCAUAGCGACUAGAUGCUAGGGCUCUAGAGCUAGUCCUUCUCCUUUUGUGUUGUAUGUUGCAUGGCAUGUCGUGUACUUUGGAUCUGAGCUAUGUAAGACCUUACGAGUUAUGUUGAAAGUCCAGUGUAUGUAUGCUGGCAAGUUGGAUGUACGCGAACCUUGUUGCGUGAAUGUUAAGUAAUCUGUUAGUGAUGUUGUGCGUGGAUGAUGAGUUGUUGUGCCUUUGUUUAUUGUGUGAAUUUAUUCCCUCAGUAAAUUCAGUAUGGCACGAUUUUACACAUUUUCUACCGGUUGAUAGCAACUCCUAACGAUUGCUUAUCAUUGGCGUAUGCAGAUGGUGGGGUAACAGCAAUCCGGGUCUUGGAGCAGGUACAUCCGGAGGUGGGGCUCAACGGAAUGAGGACCGAGCACCAACACCACCACCACCACCUCCCCCGUACACUGCGGAUGUGUUUUUCGUGCAGUUUCUGGGGAGCCAACGCAACAUGGAACAGAUGCAGCGCAACAUGGAAGAAGCUUUGCGCAACAUAGCUAACAACACCCGUCGUGGAGAUAAUCAGGGUGGCCGGGAGGUCAACCAGUACAGUUCGUUCAAGGACUUCAUGGAUACCAAGCCACCAAUCUUUAAGGAGGCCUUGGAACCGCUCGAAGCAGAUGAGUGGAUCAACACCAUGGAGCAGAAGUUUCGUCUUCUCCGAAUGACAGAAGAACUCAAGGCUGAGUAUGCGGCACAUCAGUUGCAAGGACCUGCUGGGAUUUGGUGGUCCCAUCACCGUACCACCUACCCAGAGGGGACACCAAUCACCUGGAACCGCUUCACCACCGCUUUCCGGGGAAAUUACAUUCCUCCUGGUGUGGUUGAAAUGAAGGUUGGGGAGUUCAUGAGGCUGUCCCAAGGGACGAAGUCUGUGAAGGAGUAUCUACACGCUUUCAACAAUCUCGCUCGCUAUGCCCCUGAGUUUGUGAACACGGAGGCUAAGAAGAUUGCUAUUUUCCAGAGAGGCUUGAAAUCCAAAGAUGCUGAAGACCAUGGGUACAGGGGCCAGGGCUACUUUCAAUGCCUAUAUCAGUGACUGUCUGACCCAAGAGAACAAUAACAACAACUACAGUGCAUCCAAGUCACGUAAAAGGGCUUUUGAAGCAGGAUCAUCCCAGUCCAGGGCACCAGUGGCAGGGCGACAGCAGUAUCGUCCUCCUGCCCCGAGUGCUAGGUUCCGACCACCGCAGAGAAGGAACACCGGGCAUCCAACCCAGCAGAAGCCGUACAAGGUGGCGAUAGCUCUUGCCAAGCUAAAGGCAAUUCAAGCCGCAGCACCUGCCACCAACAAUGCGCCCAAGGGUCCGUGCUAUAACUGCCACAAGAUGGGGCACUUUGCUAAGGAAUGUCCCUACCCCAAAAGGCAGCAGCCAACCUAUCCAGCUCGUGUGCAUCAUACCUCAAUUGAGGAAAUCCCGGAAGGAGAACCGGUAACAGCUGGUAUGUUUUCUGUCAACCAACAUCUUGCUGUUGUUUUGUUUGAUUCUGGAUCAUUGCAUUCAUUCAUGAGCCAAGCAUUUGCACAAAAGCAUAAUCAACCAGUUACAGAUCUGGGCUAUGGCUACCGCAUCAGCUCAGCAGGGGCAGAUGUGUUGACCAAUAGAGUGGUCCGAGGGGCAACCCUGGAUGUAAGUGGCCGAGUUUUUCGGGUAAAUCUAGUGGUCAUGCCUGGGUUAGUUUUGGAUGUUAUCAUGGGCAUGAACUGGAUGAGAGAAUGGGAUGCUGUCAUAGAUACUGGAAAGAGGAUGUUAUCUCUCAGAGAACCACAGGGCAGUAACUCUUUUCAAGUACCUCUGCCCCGUCGUCUUGACUUUGCUAGCAUCUCCUGUGCUACGCACGUGGUCCCUUUACCACAGAUUCCAGUAGUCUGUGAGUUCCCUGAUGUGUUUCCCGAGGAAUUACCAGGACUUCCUCCAGAUAGGGAGGUAGAGUUUGCAAUCGAGUUGAUACCAGGUACAGCACCAAUAUCUAGAAGGCCGUACCGGAUGCCACCAAACGAACACACAGAGCUGAAGAAGCAACUGAAGGAGUUACUAGAAAAAGGGUUCAUCCGGCCAAGCUCGUCGGAAUGGGGUUGUCCAGCGUUGUUUGUGAAAAAGAAGGAUCAGUCGUUGCGCAUGUGCGUGGACUAUCGUCCACUCAAUGCAGUGACAAUCAAAAAUAAGUAUCCCUUGCCAAGGAUUGAUAUCCUGUUUGAUCAGUUAUCCAAGGCAAGAGUGUUUUCUAAGAUAGAUUUGAGAUCUGGGUAUCACCAAAUCAAGAUUCGUCCGCAAGAUAUCCCGAAGACUGCUUUUUCCACCAGGUAUGGGUUGUACGAGUAUCUUGUCAUGUCCUUUGGGUUGACAAAUGCUCCUGCAUACUUUAUGUAUCUGAUGAAUUCAGUCUUUAUGCCGGAAUUGGAUAAGUUUGUUGUAGUGUUUAUCGAUGAUAUCCUGGUGUAUUCAGAAAAUGAGCAAGAUCACGCCGAGCAUCUGAGAAUCGUGCUGACACGAUUACGAGAGCAUCAGCUAUAUGCCAAGUUCAGCAAGUGUGAGUUCUGGUUAAAGAAAGUUCCUUUCCUAGGGCACAUUCUGUCUGAAGAAGGAAUUGCUGUGGAUCCAUCAAAAGUGCAGGAAGUCAUGGACUGGAAGGCACCAACUUCGGUCUCGGAAGUUAGAAGUUUUCUUGGUCUGGCCGGGUAUUAUCGUCGUUUUAUACCUGACUUCUCCAAGAUUGCUAAGCCAAUGACAAGUUUGCUACAAAAGGACCAUAAGUUUGUCUGGACGGAAGGGUGUGAGUUAGCCUUCCGCACCUUGCGAAAGUUGCUAACCACUGCUCCCGUUCUGGCACAACCUAAUAUAGAGAAGCCUUUUGAUGUGUUUUGUGACGCAUCGAAGAGUGGCCUGGGGUGUGUGUUGAUGCAAGAUGGCAGGGUGAUAGCUUAUGCUUCCCGACAGUUGCGAAAGCAUGAAGUCAACUAUCCAACGCACGACCUUGAGUUAGCAGCAGUGGUACAUGCUUUGAAGAUCUGGAGACAUUAUCUGCUAGGAAAUAAGUGUCACAUUUACACCGAUCACAAGAGUUUGAAGUACAUCUUCACUCAGUCCGAGCUGAAUAUGAGGCAACGACGGUGGUUAGAGCUAAUCCAGGAUUAUGAUUUGGAAGUUAAUGUGGUCGCAGAUGCCUUGAGUCGCAAACCGCACUAUCAAAUGGUUCAACCGUUGUUUGAAGAUGGGUUCAAUCUUAUGCAUCCUGAGGUCUUGUGUCAUAUACAACUCAGUUGUUCACUCGAGAGUCAAGUCAUUGAAGGUCAGAAAACAGACAAGGGUAUUUUCCACAUCAAAGAGAAGAUCAAAGAUGACCCAAAGACUCAGUUUUGGGUUGAUGAGAAGGGGGUACUGUGGUUUCAACAGCGGUUAGUGGUCCCGAAAGAUCGGGAGUUGAAGAAUCGCAUCAUGGAUGAAGCCCAUCUCUCUAAGCUUUCUAUUCAUCCUGGCAGCAGCAAAAUGUAUCAAGAUCUAAGGCCCCACUUUUGGUGGACCAAGAUGAAGAAAGAAAUAGCCGCUUAUGUGGCCCGUUGUGACACGUGUUGCAGAGUUAAGGCCAUCCAUAUGAAACCUGCAGGUCUGUUACAACCGUUAUCAGUUCCGGAGUGGAAAUGGGAAGAGGUCAGUAUGGACUUUAUCACCGGCUUACCGACAACCAGGAAGGGGAAUGACUCGAUUUGGGUAAUCAUAGAUCGAUUAACCAAGUCGGCUCAUUUCAUUCCAGUCAAGAACACAUACAGACCUCCUGAGUAUGCUGAUAUAUAUAUGGCUGAGAUCGUCAAGUUGCAUGGUAUCCCCAAAACCAUCAUAUCGUAUAGAGGACCGCAGUUCACUGAUCACUUCUGGGAGCACAUGCAUAAGAGUUUGGGGACCAGUUUGAUAAGAAGCACGGCGUAUCAUCCCCAGACUUCAGGCCAAACAGAGAGGCUAAACCAAGUGUUAGAAGAUAUGCUGAGGGCCUGUGUGCUAUCGUCCAAGGGAUGGUGGGAAUCAUGGUUACCUUUGGCUGAGUUCUCAUACAAUAAUAGUUAUCAAGAGAGCAUCAAGAUGGCCCCGUUCGAAGCUUUGUAUGGGCGGAGAUGUCGAACUCCGUUAAACUGGGUGGAACCUGGUGAAAGGAGAUACUAUGGUAUCGAAUUUGUGAAUGAUGCCGAGAAAAAGGUGCAGAUUAUACAGCAACAUAUGCAAGCAGCGCAAUCACGACAGAAGAGUUAUGCUGACAAGAGGAGAAGGCCGCUUGAGUUCAAAGUAGGCGACUAUGUGUAUCUCAAGGUUACGCCAAUGAAGAAAAUUCAACGUUUCCGAGUUCGAAGCAAGCUUGCACCCCGAUAUGUGGGACCAUACCCAGUGCUAGAAAGGAAAGGCCCAGUGGCCUACAAGAUUCAGUUACCUGAAGAGAUGAGCUCGAUCUUUCCGGUCUUCCAUGUGUCUCAACUGCGGAAAUGUCUGAAAGUACCGGAGCAAAGAAUUGAACCUCGAGGAAUCAAGAUAAAAGCAGACCUAGAGUACAAAGAGCAGCCAGUGGGGAUUGUGGAUACCAAGGAGCGAGUAACCCGAAACAGAGUUGUUCGAACAUACAAAGUGGUGUGGAGUCACCAUGACGAUAGGGAUGCCACUUGGGAAACAGAGGAUUACUUAAAAACAGUUUAUCCAAAAUUUCAUAAGAAAUGGUUAGUAACCCCAAAAUCUCGGGACGAGAUUUCCCUAAGGGGGAAAGGGCUGUAACACCCUAGGUGUUAAGCAUGCACUUAGCCUUGGCAAAGAAAUGCAUAAGCAUCCUCAUCAAUCAUAAGCAUCAUAAGCAUGUCAUUCUCUUCAAGUAUGAUUUUAUGUGCAUCAUUUCAUGAGUUUUAAACAUGUUAAAAUGUGAUGCUUGCUUUAAAAAUUGUGAAAUAGUCAAACUAGGUUGGUUUAUGUGUAAGAAGAAUUAAGAACAUUUUUGUGCAAUUUUUGGAGCUAUGGAAUUUGAGAAAUGGGAUUUAUACAAAAAUAUCCAAAAAGAAUUUAUUUAAAACCUAGAACUCAGUUUUAACUUGUAAUUCAAAUUCUAUUUGGAAUUUGGUCUUGCUUGUUAAGGCAAAGUUGUAGAGUUUUUGUUUUGGAACAACUUUGUUUUUGGGAGCAAGAGGUGAAAAUGAUUUUAAAUUGGUCCAAAUGAAUUUAGAAAGAAUUUGAGAAAAAAUUUCAAAAAAAAAAGAGAAAGGGGGCAGGCGCUGCUGGGCCGACCCGCCUCCCUUCUGGCCCAGCUGGGCAGCGCGGCCCGCUCCCCCUCCUCUCUCUCCCGCGCGCGCGGCGCCCGCCUUGCUCCACCCGGCGCCGGCCACGUGGCGGCCGUACGCCGGCGUUGGGCGCGACGCGGCCGGCCUCCAACCCCCCCGGUCGGGACGCCGGCGCAGGCUCCCAGGCCACUCCCUCCAUUCUGUCUCCCCCGCGCCCUCCUUCUCCUUCCUCCUCCGCUCGCACCGCGCAGCAGCAGCCGCUCCUCCGCGCGCCAUUGCCGGAGAGAGCUCCGCCGCUCGUCGCCGGCCACACCAGAGCCUCAAGCUCGACGCCGAGAGCACCAGGGCACUCGCCGUCGCUAGGGUAAGCUCGUGCGAACGUUCUACCGAGGUGAGAGUCCGUCGAGCGCUGUGAAUCGCUCGCCGGAGUUACCCCGAGCUCGCCGGAGUACUCCGCCACGACGGAUCUAGCGUUUCCCUGCCUCUUUUCGCUCGUUCUCUGUUGCGCUAGGUCAGUAGGAAGGUCAGGAAGCUCGGAGAGACGUUUGCGCACGCUCUACCGCGCCGGAGCAGCCUGGCCACGGCGAGCAGCGCCGCCGUGCCGCCAUGCAUGCUCGCCGGAGGUGUUCCGGCCGUCCUCUGGUCGAUCUAAGGGUACCGCUGGGUGCGUCUUGCUGCGGGGAGCACAUUGGUGCUCACCCCGUGGCCGGAGACCUCACCGCCGGCGAGAUCCGCUCGUCGGAGGUGAGCUCCCUCUCGGUCUCGCUGACUGGUGGGGUCGGGGACCCACUGUCAGUCGCAGGGGUACCCCGGUGGGUGUAGAUCUGGGUGUGCGUAGCAUUUUUCGUCGGUUUUCUUGAAAAAGUGUUUUCCAGAAAUUGAUUUAAAGUUUGUAAAAUCUAUAUCUUGAGUUCUACAGCUCCAAAUUGAAUGAAAUAAAUUUUGGUGUGCUCUAUAUUUCCAGAUCUACAGUUUGAUGUAAUUGCAUGUCAUGUUGGAGUAACUUUUCUGUGUGAAUAUAUUUUAUCCAUGAUUUUGUUAAACUUGGAAAAUGCAUAGUAAAUAAAAUAUGGCUCAGAAAAAUGUGAAACUUGAUUUGUUGGCUUUGCAUGUGUGGUUGCUCACCGGGAAAAAGUGGGUACAUAUUAUUUGGUGUAUAAAUGAAUUUAUGGUAAUUUAAAUGCUUGCAUGGCAGUGAUUUAUGAUUUUUAAUAAUUAAUUGGGUCAUGCAAUAAAUCUAGAAAAUUUUGUGGGUGUUUCUUAUGAUAUUAUGCAAAUUGCAAAAAUAUGAAAUCUGUUGUUUAACACUUGUAUCCCAGUAGAGUGAUUUUACUUGCCUUAUUAAUUAAUCUUGUAAUUUUUGUGGCUCAAAAUAAGUAUCCAAAAAUCAUGAAAAAUUUACAGUAGACUUUAUGCUUAGCUGGUAGUCUCCUGUAAUUUUUUUUGGAAUUUAUUGAUGAACAGAAUUGCAUUUGAUUUUUAAUGGGCUUAGAAAUGAAUAAAGAAAACUAUGAAGGGUGUAUAUAUAUAGGUUGAAUGGAAUAAGUUGGGUUUGGUGUAUCUUUGAAGCAUCAUGGGGGUUGCUGGUUGCAUUUGAAAAAUAUCUGUAGAAGAGAAUGCAACAGAUGCUUAAUUUAGUUAUUGUUCCCGGAUGAUGUUGACUACCUUGUAAUAAGCAUGACCAAGUGCAUCACCUAUGCAUCAUAACAUGACUCCUUUGACACUCUCUCUUACAAGCAUCCACUCGGGCAUCUCACACUCUACUCAUGAGCAUAUAUGCAUCAUACAGGCUCGCAGGAGAACGAAGUGGGACCCGAGGAACCCGAGGAGAUACAGGAGCAGGAACCUCCGGAAGCACAGGAACCCGGAGAGGAAUUGCAAGAGUGUCCGGAUCACCGACCCAGCACGUUUGAGAAAGGCAAGCCCCGGAGCAUUCUAAGUUUCCCUAUUCUCGCUAACUUAUAUAAAGUGCUAUACUUAUUCUACUGUAGUGCAUAUUAAGUGAUAGGAGUUGCCUGAUACCGUUGCUGCAUGAGUACUCCUUGUUAUUUCUACUCAUUCAACUACCUUGUCCUAUGUAGAUAGGCACGGAGUCUAUGCUUAGCUUGCUUAGUUCGGUAGAAGUCGGGUGAUUCCCUGUCACCUGCGAGACAUAGGUGGAUACCUGCUUGUUUAAGCAUUGGUUGCUCGGGGAAAAGAAUAACCAAGUGUGGAAUGAAUUUGGAGACCGGGCAGGGUCUUAUGGUGGGUUGACCAUGGUGCCCCUGCCUGUGUCGAUUAAGGACCGAUCGUUGACGGCCCUCUUGUCAUGUUGAACGCAUGCCCAACACUUAGCUGGAAGGAUAAGUCGUUCCGACCGCGAAGCCUGAACACUAUCCGGGCCGGGAAUCGAGCCGCCAUGCGCUGUAUUGGUGAUGGUUGAGGAGAACGACGAGGGCGCGGCGCGCAACCUUGGUAUACCUUGGAUACCUCGGUCGCCGGAACGGUCCUCGGGUACUGGCGGUGCCUGCCGAACCCGCGAAUUGGUCCUGGAUAGUGUAAUACGGUGAUCUGUAGCUCACUUGAUCAGUGAGUGUGGUUUGUGUGGGGAAUACCUCGCCAGCUGGUUAAAAUCGAUUCGAAUCGCCAUCGCUCCUGGAUAGUGAGCACUUGACAUGAGCUUCGUCCUCGUAGUAAGGACUAUGGAACACUCGGGUUAUAAUGAUGAAUGGUUUAAGAAAUGCUAUGAUGAGGUAUUAUCAUAGACUCAUACUUGCUUGUAAUAGCACAGGAGCAAACCUAGAUAAUAGGUAAUGAUACUUUCAACUUGAGCAGGUUAAAAGAAGAAAAGAUUUAUGUAGGUUAGGGUAAUAAAACCUUGCGGUCUUUGCAAAAUGGUUGUCAGCUACCCCACUAAAUAGCCUUCAUGAUCCUUGAUGAGUCUUUAUUUUAAGUUUUAUGGCGGGUAAGUCUAGCUGAGUACCUUCUCGUACUCAGGGUUCUAUUCCCAUGUUGUUUUGCAGAUGGUCAAAUGUACUAUGGUUAUUGCAUCCUCUGUCUGUACCCGGCUAUGGGUGAUGACUAGACCAAGGGCGAUGGUCACUCUGUCUCUUCCUUUGCUUUUGUGGGAAUGACCAAACUAUGGCACUGUAUCAGACUUAUCGUGUGUGUUGUAAUUUCGAACUAUGAAGCUUCCGCUACUUGAAGAACUUGGUUUGUAAUAACUUAAGUACUCCGAUGUGUUUCCUGAAUGAUGUAAUCUGAAUGUACUUAUGGAUGGCGGCCGCUAAACUUAUUACGAUCUUGGUUGUAUGCGAUGUGUGGUUUGAAAUCCUUCGAGAUUUCACGGACUACCGGGAUUAUAUGGGCUUAAGCGUGAUGGUUCGACUAUGCAAAUGGUCACUAUUAGGCUUAAUCUCUUAUAAUUUGGUCGGUUCUGUUACAAACCAUACUUAAUUAUUUGCUCGAGACGAGGAAAGGUUAAGCUUGGGGGACUUGUUGACAGUCAUUAUAGACCAAUUAUAAACUACCAACUUGAUCGAAAAAGAGAAGAAGCAAUCAUAUUAUAUAUACACAUGCAUUUUAUUACUUACAAGUUCCACUUGUACCAUAGUGAUUAUAUUUUGCAAGAAUUAUAGUGCAACAAGUGGAAAUGUGCCAUACCACGAAGAAAGUGCAAAGUACCAAAAGACGUAUUUAGAAAUGCGCAAACCAAGAAAAUAGAGAAAGGCCCGAACAACGCAGAACUGGGCCUGAUCGUAACCACGAGAGAGAUCCAGGCCCAGAGCCAAACCGAACACGCGAAGGCGGUGGCCAGGGGGACCCACCCAGGGUGCGGCCGCACCCUGGUGCAGGCGCACCCCUGGAGGCGGCAAACCGGACCCAUCUUUCUCAGGCGGUUGCAUGCCGUCAUGCAUAGGAUGGUUUCACCUAUUACCAAAUUUAGAUGCGACGAACCGUCCUAGUUCCACUAUAAAAAGAGAGGCACUCCCCCCUUUUCAACACACACCAUCAUUUGGAGCCUCUCACCUCACAUUCCUCUUGUAUUCUUUAGAUUAGUUUUAGUGGUAGAGCAAGGCAAGAGCUAGCAAGUAGAACUUGUAUCUUUGGAAGAAAAAGAACACCUCAGUAUGAAAAUAAUACAGUUCUCUUUCAUGUUCAAGUUCUUAUCUUAUUUAUAUAGCAAUGCAUAUGAACUAGAGUAUAAUCUUGUUCAUGUUAUGAUCAUGAUAUAUGAACUAGCAUAUAGUUUAUGUGUUAUGUUCUUGACAUGUUCAUCAUUGUUCUUCAUUGUUCAUCAAGUUAGUAUGAAUAGAGGAAGAACUAGGGAUGAGAUGACGGUUUGUUGGGCUGUGGUGGCUGAUCCUAACUUAGCCUGUCACUCCGAAGGGGUGGGGUCUAUGGGGGUUAGGAGUUGUUUCCAAUUACACGGGCGUGGUGCUCGGGUAUGCGGAGAUCAGCGGAUAUGCGGGUAUCUUUCAGGCAGAGGGGUAGGUGGCAGGGUAGUGGCAGCCCUGUCCAUCCUUUGUAAUCCCCCACGAUCAGGUAUUCCGGUAGGAGUUCUGUAAAGUCUCUAUCGGCUGGGAUGUCCAGCUGCGGGGAUCUCCCUAUCAUCCCAGACUUGGUUCUGAUGCUAGACAUGCUAGUUAGAAGUUUACUAACAGUUCUUUGUAUAACUAUAUACGACCAAUGCGUGCUCAGUUAGAUAUAUUCUUUUCUUUAUUUUAUCUUUUAUCCUUGAGGUUGGCUCAGAUGUGUGUCCACUAUCCUUGAACUAUAACUUAGCCCUGUCUAUGCUAUGUUUACCUAUGCAUUCAAUAAGUAAUCAUGUUUAUACCAAAGCUAGAUGCAUUCAUCCUGCCUUCCUAUGGGAAUUAUAAAUAACGAUACCCACUCACGGGUUGAAAUGCUACAAUGAUAGUUCCAUGCGCUUGCGGAUUUAUUCUUAUUGAACUAUCAAUUGGUGUACCUAAGUACCGUUACUUAAGAUUGUAAUCCUCGUGUAUGCCCCAACAGCGCCGUGCCACAGUAUUGCGUAUCGCAAGUAAGGAUGGUUAGGAAGGCCGAUCUGGUAGUUCUAAUCAUCAGUACCAGACUGCAUUACUUAGGCCGGAGUCAUACGAACCGAGAGUUACCUUUCUAAUGUAAUGGUGGUUAGGAAUGUCAAUCCAGACAGUAUUGCAUAUCGCAAGUAAGGAUGGUUAGGAAGGCCGAUCCGACAGUUCUAAUCUUGUGUGUGUUACUCUCUGUUGACGGUCCUUAAGUAUCAAAUAUAAUCAUCAAAUAAAUAAAGAAAAGGAUCCAAAUGUGACCAACACCCAGACUUAGGGUUUUAUCUGACAAAAUUCCACGAGUUUUGGUGUUUGUCUAUUUCUACAGGGGGGUAUCAGAGAAUAUGGAGGAAAUGUCCACACGUCGGGUUUACAUAGAGAUAUUAACGUGCACCGCAAUUAUCCAACAUCUAGAAGAGUUCAGAAGCCACAGGAACGAACGGGAGGCCGAGCGGGCCUGAGGGCUGGGCGCCUGCUGUUGACGGUCCUUAAGUACCAAAUAUAAUCAUCAAAUAAAUAAAGAAAAGGAUCCAAAUGCAACCAACACCCAGACUUAGGGUUUUAUCUGACAGAAUUCCAUGAGUUUUGGUGUUUGUCUAUUUCUGCAGGGGGUUAUCAGGAAAUAUGGAGAAAAGGCCCACAUGUCGGGUUUACAAAGAGAUAUUAACGUGCCACGCAAUUUUCUAUCAACUAGAAGACUGCAGAAGCCACAGGAACAAAGCAGAAGCCGAGAGGGCUCAGGGACAGGGCGCCCGCCCAAGUCCUUAGGGCGCCCGCCCACCUAUUUCGGCCAGUCACGUUCAACUUCACAGAUUAUGCUCCACCGACCUAAAGGAUCAAGAAUAACCGUUCAAUCAAUGUCGGUUUGAUCCGACGGCCCAGAUUCACUUGAGGGGACUAUAUAACCAGACCCCCUGGCCCCUGGAGGAGGCACCCCUUGAUCAUUAUUCAUUAUUCAUAGACAGAGCAAAAGCUAGGGUUUGGAGAUGAGAGCUCUCCUCUCUUCUCUAAACUAGAGUAGAUCUAGAUAGUAGCAAGAUGGAGAGCGAGGGAGGAUUGGAGGAGAGGCCGGCCUGUCGGUUCUUCCUCCGGUUGUACUUCGUCAUGAUCAAGCUCUAAUCAAGCUUGCUCAUGGGAUGACUCUCGUAAUCUACUUCUAAUUCAUUAUGCAAUUACUAAUCAUGUAUGUUCUGGUUCACAACUCUUUUGAGUACUUCUAAUCUCUAGGACGCUAUAGGUGAGAGUUGUAGUAUAGGUGUAAGCGUGGUGCUUAGACCUAGAUUACUUGUGGAUAUCCCCUGUCUAGCUGGAUCGUGUGGUAGGCCGCGUAGAUGACAGUUACGUUGGUCCCCUGUAGUCCACCUCUUGUAAGCAGGACGGGUAGGGUUUAUCGGCCUAUGGAUAAGCAUCCUUUGUGGUGUAUUCUUAUCACGUGGUUCGUCCCAGACAUAGACAUACCCCUUUGAAGUAGAGAAACCAUAGUUAUCCUCUCUAUUCUGCUACCAUCGCCCAUAUACUAGAUUGCUCUACUCUCUAUUCCCCUAUUAUUACCCAUUGUUAUCUUACCUUUAAUAUUGUUCUUAUUCAAUUCUAUCAUCUUUCCUAUUUACACUUACCUAUCUAUCUAGGUUAAGUUAGAGCGUAGUUGGUUCUCCCGUUUCCCUGUGGAUACGAUAAAACCUUUAAUCGGGUGAAAGCUAUAACGGUAUCCAUGCGCUUGCGGAUCUAUCUGUGUGCGUAUAAAUACCAUAGUACACUCUAGUGCCAUGCUGGGGAUGACAACCUAGUAUUCAAGUGGUGUUAGCAAGUGUCAACAAGCAUUUUUGGCGCCGUUGCCAGGGAAACGGUUGCUGAGUUGACUACGAACUAGCUUAAUCAUUUUCUAAAAAAAUAAUAAAAAAAUAUUUUUCCUUUUAUCCUUUUCCUCAUCUCUGCUGUUCUUUCUUCUUAUCUAAUCCUUGAUCUCUGGUCUAUCAUGAAUACAAACAUGUCUAUCUAUGAAUUUCAUAGACCUAUGGGCACACAUCUCGAACCACCAAAAUCUUCAAAGCCUAUCAUAGCAUCUAGUUUUGAGAUAGACCCCGAAUACAUAGAAUUUGUUCAAAAACAACCUUUCUUAGGAGAAGGUGAAGAAAACCCAUACACACACCUAAGAGUGUUUUAUCAAGUCUGUGACGUUCGCAUAGAAGGCAUGUACGAUGAGACCCUUAAAUGGAAGCUCUUUCCAUUCUCUUUAACAGGAAAAGCUAGACAUUGGUACAAACUCAAAGUAGGGAGUGUUCAUGGAGAUUGGAAGGAGUUAUAUAGUAGUUUUCUUUUUAAAUAUUUUCCAAUCUCCAAAGUGGUGGAACUUCGACGUGAGAUUAUUUCUUUUAGACAACUGGAAGAAGAAUCUCUUGGCCAAUCAUUGGACCGCUUUAUUAACCUUACUCACACUGGCCCAAAGCUUUCUAUUCCAGAAGAAGUUCUUCUAAUUCACUUUUUUGACGGCCUUAGUAGGGAAGAUAAGCAAACCCUUCAUGCGGCCUCUGGAGGAUCUUUCCACCACCUGUCCGCUAGUGAUGCUUGGAAUUUGAUUGAUUUAAUGAGCGGAAAGUCUCCUAGCUUUUAUAUCCCUGAGAAAGAGAAAGAACCAGUUCCUAGACAAGAAGAAGUUUCGAUAGCCAGAUCACAACCACUUCAAUCCCAAACUUUAGCUAUCGAUCCUAAACCAUCAAUACCCCAAAAUUCUUCAAGGGAGGAAGGAAUUCCGACCUUAAAUCUUUCAGAUACUGAUGGUUUAGACUUUUGGUUCCAUAAGAAACCUUCAAGCAGGGAUAAUUCAAGUCUUUGCAAUAAUGGUUCUCUUAGAGAAUGUCCUGGUUCCUAUUAUGAAGAAGUCGAGGAUGACAUAUCAAGUGAAGAAGAGCUAAGCCAUAUUGAAAAUUCUAUCUGCUCCCCUUCCAUGUUCACAAGUUAUAAAUCCAUCCUUGUCCUUAGAGAUCCCUCUUAUCCCUCUUCUUUUCAGUCUCAUGAUGAUCCUAGCAAUUCACCAAGACGACCAAACCAUAGGAGUCAUGAAGAUCAUAAGGAUGGCAUGUCAAGUAAUGCCAUAGAAGGAGAACUAAGCUAUAUAGAAGAUUCUAUCGGCUCCCCUUUCCUGAUCACAAGUUCCAAAUGGCUAGAAUGUGUAGAAUGGAUGGAUAAGGAAGAAGCCUUAAUGGAUUCUGACUUUGGCUCAAUUUCAAAUGGUGAGUUCUUGACUCCCUUUGAAGAUGAGAUUCAUCCAACUACAGAAGAGGACAUAGGUGAGACCAAUCCAAGAGAAACUCUGAACAUUCAGAUUGGAGACGAAGAUAACAUUAAUGAGCAUGGAAUUUAUUUCAUAGACACUUUGUUUACUCCAUGCUCAUAUGUAACAUCUUCCCAAUCUAUUGGUCUCUCCAACAUCACCACAUUUGAGAUCUCCAACCCCCUCUUCCUUUUUAUUUAUAAAAACUUUAAAAGGGCGGUUGUCGAUGCAUAUGUCUAUAAUAAAUAUUGCAGAUCUCGUUGAGUUGAUCUUGAUAUAGGUCAGCGUUGGAAGGGUAACCACUUCGCCGACAUAAAUUGAUGGUUUCCCAAGGACAAGCUUAGUGUCCUAAAAUAAGCACUGAUCAGAUCGUAACAUGAGCUUUUAAUUAUUUACAACAUUAUCUUGUGUAUUGAGCAUAUAAGGAUAAUUGUAAAAAUAUUCCUUCGGGUAUUCUUGUCACUAACCUUUCUAGGAUUGGAGCAAGAAGAUCGGAUGAAUGACAAGCACAAGGUAUGUCCAACCAAUCAUCAUACAACAUUGAAUUAAAUCCAAACUUGAAUUUUGCAAAAUUCAAGCUUGGGGGAGUACUUUACAUAAAAACAUCCUUUGCCAUAUUGCUAUGCUGGUUGUCCCUACCUUUGAGACAUGCUCAAUUUGUUAAAUACUAAUCACACUACUUCAGCUCCACUUGAGUAGAUCUCUAUAAAUGCUGUCAUGCUACCUUUGUCUAUUUACUAGCAAGUGUUGGUUUGGAAGUACUCACCAUACUUCCAUUGGCAUUUAAAUUAAGCAUGGUGCUUAGGUUAAAUAGCCUUCCUUAAUCUGAUUAGACAUGGAGUCUAGUUUGGUUAUUGAACUAAAAACUGCUUGAGUAGAUAUUGGUAUAUUUUUUUGGACUAACCCCUGCAGGAAAACUUUCAAUAUCAACCUAGGAAGUCAUGAGAUAAACUCACAUUAGAGACAAGGAGAGGGACACAUGAAGUUUAACAAUUUACACAAGGAAGACGUAGCUCAUAAGAGAUGAUCCAUGGAGGGUGCCACAAACACGAUACACAACCACUACAAAUGGGAAGCUUCCACAAGGUGAGAUGGUACCAUCACUCUUCAAGUAAGGUAACAUCUUAAGGUACUUGACUAUCACUUUUAUAAGAUUCUCCUUGGUUCUAGCGUUCACAUAAAUAAAGAGACAAACAUGUAUGAUUUAUAACUCUAAAUUAACCAACCCAACUGAUUCAGCAUGUUUAAUCCUUUAAUCUUUGUUCCUAGUACUACCUCCAUGAUCCCACACUCCUAGUCAUAUGAGCUAAAAUGUUGCACAUUCAAUCUUUGAGAGAUAUAAAAAAAAGACAUAUAUAUAGAUAGAUUAUCUUUCCAUAAGGUUGAAGCGAUCUGAUCUGACAAAUGUUAUAAGUGCUACACUCAUGAACUUAUCAUCCAUCAACUUUAUCUUGCUCACUAUGCUUAAGGUUAGAGAAGAACAAAUACACUUUUGGUUCUGUUGGUGUUUUCCACUAACAGGGCCCAUGCACUUGAUCUAUGUCUUGUCUCUAUGAGCAGGUACACUUGGAGCAAAACAUGGUGGAGUUUUACAACUCCCAGAUUCCACCAAGUAAAGAACCUGGAUCUACGAGCACAAACACACUGAGCAAGAUACUGCCAACGCCGCACUUUGAACUGCUGGGCAAACGAAGAACAUGGGUGACACCGUAUCAAGAGGAGCAGACGUCAAGGUCCGCACCUGAAUCAAAUGACGCACCUGAAGAAUGAACACGGUGAGAAGUCUUGUUGAGAAGACUUAAAACAUUAGAUUCUCGUCGGAAGGUAAAAUCGGUAUUAAUCCAUAUUUAUCCUUUCUGCAUUCCCUUUUCCCUUUAAUUACCUACUUUCCUUAAAUGGCUUGUUAGUUAGUCAUGCUAUCUUGAAAAGAAAAUAAAAAUGUUAAAAAUAGUAAGCCCCAUGUGAGUAUGCUCGUAGCAUAAAACCCAUAAGUACAUUCACUGUGGUGGCGUAAAAAUAAACUAAAUAUAUUCCUGUUCUAUAGAAAUAAAAAUAUAAAAAUAAAUUUAUGAUCCUACCAAAGAGAGUAAUAUUUAUUAGAGGAAGCUCAGCAUGAUAAAGGCUAGAUAUUUAUGCUAACACUUAACCAGUUCCACAAAGCUUUGUUGUCUAUUUGAGCUCCACAGAAUUCAAGGAUCAAAGAAGACUAGCAGACGGAGGACAUUCUAAUCGCUGUCAGGGUGCUGUCGACAUUCAAAUACACCUUCGCCACCUGCUAGCUACAUCAGAAUAAAUUACGUCAAAAUCCAGCUUAGGGGAGAGCACCCCCAUUUAUCCAGCUAAGUGUCUCUACUCGCGUUUAUACUUUACUCAAAUAAUAAAAAGAUGCAUAAUCAUAACAACCCAAAUAAAGAUUUUAUGCUUAUAUAUAUAUCUUUGCUUAGUUUGCUAAAUAAAUAAAUAAAUAAAGUUUGCUAUGAACCCUCAUGAUAAGCUCUCACAUGGAAAUGAUGAUAGUUCUCAAAAGUGAAAUCUCUCUCAAGUUUAGGUAUGACUGUUAUGAAUUAAGAUUUGCUCUAAACCUGAACUUGUGGGAAGAGUACUUGAUCUGAAGUCUAAGUCGUUAGCGGAUAUGAUAUGGGAAGGUUGAGCUGUUGUUUAUCUGUUCCUAGAGAUGCUAGAAUUCUAGAGAAUUUUAUCUUUGAAAAUCUUUAAAAUGUUGCAUGAUGAGUUCCUGUAUGAUGAGAGUUUAAAAUCCUACCACAGUCAUAUAUACAUGCUUAUUAGACUAUGAACCAUACAUUUACUUUUUACUACUUAUGAGCAUUGAGUGUGGUCAAGCUAUGUGGACCCUUAGGAGCUUGUCAUGCGGUUAAAAUCAAGAUUCACUUGCACGUUCACUCAUAUAUGCUGCUUCUACUCCGGAAGUACGCGUCCACAUACAUCCACUCAUUUCCAUCUCCAGAUUCACCCAAAAUUAUUCUACUCCUAUCCAGGAGAGAAUAGCCAAAAACAUUAUCCUAUCCCUAUUGUUCCCCAUGAAAUAAAUGCUCGAGAUAUUUUGGUUACUACCACUUGCUACAUUAUUCUAGGAGGGUGAGUGCUCUGAAAAAAAGUGAAUAUGAGGAAAUAAAAUGGGGCAAGUGCCUGGAACCUCGAAGAAAAGAAAAAGUGAGACGAGAGGUAAAAAUGGACAAGUGUCCGACAGUAGAAUUAGGGGUACAAGAUACCCACCUGAGAGAAAAGAAAAAAAAAGAAAAAAAUAAAAUAUAGAGCAUCUCAUUCCCCUCAAAAAGCUUCAAAGUGCAAGAAAGGUAUGUAUCCCCUCAAUAGAGCAAAAGUAGAAUUAGACUUUCACCAUUGUUUUCACCAUUAUCACCAUCAUCACCAAACACCAUUCAUUCGCCAGACAUGCACAUCUUGAUUUGACUUAUUGACUUGUUUCUCUAGAUCCAUGGUUUGACUAUGCAAUAAAUGUCUUGUAAGUAUGUAUUAGCUGUCUCCCACCUAUGAGCUCUAGAUAUCAAAACCUUGUUAGAGUAGGGUGAGAGAGAAGGCAAUAUCAUUAUGCUUCAUACCACAAAUACCACAUACUUUGAGAGAAGGCAUAUAUCAUCACUGCCUUGGUAAGGAUCGAGAAAUACCACAAAAGAGAGACUAGAGAGAGUCAUACAAGGAAUCUCUGAGUUUUAUUUGAAAAUCUACAAAAAACCCAGAGCUAUAGUUGAUCAAAGAACAAGAUACAUGGUGCUUGACUUGACCGUUCUAUCUUUUAACUGCUCAAGACACAAGUGACAGUUGCUAGCCCCAUGGUGGAAGGUAAUAUGAGUAAGUUUAAGUCUUAACAAUUUACCUUAACCUAGAGAUGAGAUCUUGUUUGAACGCAUGUGUACCUAUAAGGCAUAAAAUCACUGCAGAAACUCUUGAGUCCAUCCUUGCUCAGGGACGAGCAAGAGGUAAGCUUGGGGGAGUUGUUGACGGUCCUUAAGUACCAAAUAUAAUUAUCAAAUAAAUAAAGAAAAGGAUCCAAAUGCAACCAACACCCAGACUUAGGGUUUUAUCUGACAGAAUUCCACGAGUUUUGGUGUUUGUCUAUUUCUACAGGGGGUUAUCAGGAAAUAUGGAGGAAAGGCCCACAUGUCGGGUUUACAUAGAGAUAUUAACGUGCCGUGCAAUUUUAUAUUAUCUAGAAGACUCCAGAAUCCACGGGAACAAAGUGAAAGCCGAGAGGGCUCAGGGACAGGGUGCCCGCCCAAGUCCUUAGGGCGCCCGCCCACCUAUUUCGGCCAAUCACGUUCAACUUCGUGGAUUAUGCUCCACCGACCUAAAGGAUCAAGAAUAACCAUUCAAUCAAUGUCGGUUUGAUCCGACGGCCCAGAUUCACUUGAGGGGACUAUAUAACCAGACCCCCUGGCCCCUGGAGGAGGCACCCCUUGAUCAUUAUUCAUUAUUCAUAGACAAAGCAAAAUCUAGGGUUUGGACAUGAGAGCUCUCCUCUCUUCUCUAAACUAGAGUAGAUCUAGAUAGUAGCAAGAUGGAGAGCGAGGGAGGAUUGGAGGAGAGGCCGGCCUGUCGGUUCUUCCUCCGGUUGUACUUCGUAAUGAUCAAGCUCUAAUCAAGCUUCCUCAUGGGAUGACUCUGGUAAUCUACUUCUAAUUCAUUAUGCAAUUACUAAUCAUGUAUGUUCUGGUUCACAACUCUUUUGAGUACUUCUAAUCUAUAGGACGCUAUAGGUGAGAGUUGUAGUAUAGGUGUAAGCGUGGUGCUUAGACCUAGAUUACUUGUGGAUAUCCCCUGUCUAGCUGGAUCGUGUGGUAGGCCACGUAGGUGACAGUUACGUUGGUCCCCUGUAGUCCACCUCUUGUUAGCAGGAUGGGUAGGGUUUAUCGGCCUAUGGAUAAGCAUCCUUUGUGGUGUAUUCUUAUCACGUGGUUCGUCCCGGACAUAGACAUACCCCUUUGAAGUAGAGAAACCAUAGUUAUCCUCUCUAUUCUGCUACCAUCGCCCAUAUACUAGAUUGCUCUACUCUCUAUUCCCCUAUUAAUACCUAUUGUUAUCUUACCUUUAAUAUUGUUCUUAUUCAAUUCUAUCAUCUUUCCUUUUUACACUUACCUAUCUAUCUAGGUUAACUUAGAGCGUAGUUGGUUCUCCCGUUUCCCUGUGGGUACGAUCAAAUCUUUAAUCGGGGAAAAGCUAUAACGGUAUCCGUGCGCUUGCGGAUCUAUCUGUGUGCGUAUAAAUACCAUAGUACACUCUAGUGCCAUGCUGGGGAUGACAACCUAGUAUUCAAGUGGUGUUAGCAAGUGUCAACACCUGCCCUCCCCCCUUGGGCGCCCGCCCAAGGCUCUCGGCCAAUCAGGCUCCGUCUUGCGGAUAAUGCUCCACCGACCUAAAUGAUUAAGGAAAACCGUGCGAUUAAGGUCGAUUUGAUCCGACGGCCCAUAUUCAUUUGGAGGUGCUAUAUAAGAAGGCCACCUGGCCCCUAGAGGAGGCACUCAUUCUCAUUCCUCAAACCCUAAUUCAUUCAACAGGAGGAGAGUCUCUGAUCAAGCCCUAGAGCCACCACAUCAACUAGAUCUCUAGUUUAGCAUAGCUACAUAGGAUUAGAAGUAGGAGUCAAUCUUCGAUUGGUUUCCGGAUCUGUCAAGAGGAUUCUUGGUAUUUCCUCUACUGUUUUUCAUUUGUUCAUCAUUGUUCUUCAAUAUUAUGAAUACAUCUCUGUUCUAUUUCAAUAUAUUAAUUAUGACUUUGCUCUACUUGUUUAUAUUUGCAAUUAUGUCGUUCUUAGUUUAUCAUAGUUAUAUGCUUGGCUUAGUCAGAUUAGAAUUAUAUACAUGUUUAGGAUCGUAUAGCGUUUAUCCAUCGGAUCCAUGGGUAAAUGAUAGAUAUUGUGUAGGCGUGGUGCCUAUACCGUAUUUAUGUGCGAUUGUACCCUAUAUGCCGGAUCGUGGGGUAGUUCGUGGUGGUGACAGCUCCAUUGAUUCUUAUAUAGUCCCCCUCCCAUGUAUAGGGCAGGCAGAGCAACAUUAUUACAGGGGAGUGAUUGCUAUGUUUCUCAUCUUCCUUGAUAAUAUCACUAUGCAUGGGCGUAGUCCUUUCUCGCAAUGAUUGCCAAGUAUAAUUGCACUAACUAUGAUAUGCUAGACUUUAUAGUUAAGAAUAAUGUAGAAAAUAUUCUUGUAGUUCAUCCUAAUCCCAUGCUAAUGACUUGCUAGAAUGUUUGUUGAGGUGCUUAUCAUUAUUUGUUGAGGUGCUUAUCUAUAUUUUAUGUGACAUUUAUCCCUGUAUGCAAGAAAUACAUGAAUACUCUCUAUUACACAUGCAAUGAUAGAUACUCUGUUCCAUAUUUCAUUCCAUAAUAAACACUGAUGUUAGUAAUCCCUUCCCAGUGGUAAAAAUAUAAAUAACGAUACCUGGAAUACUUCCCGGUUAAAAUGCUACAUCGGUAUUAAUAUGUGCGCUUGCAGAUCUCAUUUAUUAUUUAUUCAGAAGAGCAAUUGCAUAUUUCAAUACCGCAUCUCUCAUGUCAUGCUGGGGAUGACAACUUGGCUUAAGUGGCAUGAGGGAUAGGUUUGGCAUUUUUUGGCGCCGUUAUCAAAAAUAGAAAACUAAGUCUACUUUUGGUAAUGACGUUAAGAAUGCCCAACAAGAAUUUUUGGCGCCGUUGCCGGGGAAGGUUGAUUUACUAACAAGGAAUGAAUAUAGAAUUAUGAGUCAUCAUUCGCAUCACUAAUACGAUUGAGAUCAUCAAUUCUCUCAUACAGCUUUACCCCUGUACUUUUCUAUUUUUAUUAUUUUAUGCAGGGUGAUGUAUGAAUAGAAGACAUCUUCCAGAAAAUUUUGUUGAUGACCCCGAAGCAUUAAUCAGAAAAACCAGAGCCAACCUCAGAUCGUCAACACUUCAACGUAAAGCUUCAUCCAAACUAGAAGACCAUUGAAGGUUCAUCCGGAACUUGUCGACGGAGUUCGAUGCCAUGGCGAACAAGUCGAUCCGCGAGUUCUCAGCUCCCACUACGGACAACAUCCGCACUGGACCUACUGUAGAGAUCAACUGCAACUUUGAGCUCAAGCCUGGACUCAUCAACAUGGUACAAGCCAACCAGUUGUGUGGGAAGGCACACGAAGAUGCUACUGCUCAUCUCCAACACUUCCUGGAGAUUUGCAGCACAUGCACUAUAUCAGAAGUCCCCAGAGACGCCAUACUACUUCACCUCUUCCCAUUCUCACUAUUGGGGAGAGCGAAGCAGUGGUUCUACGCAACAAAGGAGAAGAAUACUACGUGGGAACUCUGCUCCAUGAACUUUCUGGCCAAGUUCUUUACCAUGGGCAAGACCAAUGCUCUACGUGGGAAGAUUACAAGUUUUUAGCAAAACCCUUGAUGAAUCCGUUCCAGAGGCAUGGGAGCGCUUUCAAGAAUACAUCCUAGAAUGUCCCCAUCAUGGAAUGGAGAGCUGGCUACUGAUGCAGACGUUCUAUCAUGGGCUUGGUAAUAACACCCGUGAGACCAUGGAAGCUGCAGCUGGAGGAGCAUUCCUAUCACUCACCAUACCACAAGCCACAGCUCUUGUGGAGAAGAUGGCGUCCAACCAAGGUUGGAAUGAAGAGAGGACCCAGACACGCAAGAAAGGUGGAGGUAUGCACUAGGUCAAGGAGGUAGACAUGCUGUCUGGAAAGCUGGACCUGCUCAUGAAGAAGCUCAAUGACAAAGCUGGAGACAAGAAAGAAGAAGUCAUGCAUGUGUACGACUUGUGAAGAGUGUGGAGAUACUGGACACUCAAGCAAUCACUGCACUGAGAUGCUCGAGGACGUGAACUACAUCAACAACAACUACUACUACUACAACCGUCCUCAACAAAAUCAAGGUUGGAAUCAACAGAGGCCUAACUACUCUAGUAAUUAUCAAGGUAACAAUUCUUACACUAAUAAUAAUAAUAAUUAUCCACCUUUGAGAGAGUUAGUGUCUAAUCAAGGAAAGCUAAUGGAUAACCUGUCUAAGAAAAUGGCAUCAAAUGAUAAAAUGCUAGAAAAUAUAAAUAAUAGAAUGGAUAAUUUUUCUACUGCCAUCAAGAACCAGAUUAGCUUUAGUAAAAUGAUUGAAUCUUAGUUGAAUCAAAUAGUUGCUGCUAUUCCUGCUACUAACCCCAGUAUACCAUCACAAUCGGAAGGAUUAGAAUCUGCAAAUCUUGUAGACAUGUUUGAUGCAGGUAACUACUGGAGUAACCCUGUUGUGGAAGUACAUAAUGACCUUCUGCCAGUCAAGAGAGGCGAUCCUGAAUGCCCUGUCAUCCCGAUCUCCAUUGGCAUGGUGGACUUCCUAGAGGCACUAUCCGACUUUGGCUCCAGCGUCAACAUUAUGCCCAGGGUACUCUAUGAAAAAUUCUUUACACGUCCUUUAUUAGUAACAACCAUGUGUUUGCAGCUUGCAGAUCAGACACUGAGCUUUCCAAAAGGAAUACUAAAGAACAUCUGUGUCUGAGUUGGUACCUUGUACGCCCUAUCAGACUUCAUGGUGAUAGAGACCGGUACUGAUGAGAGGGCACCCAUCAUCCUGGGGAGGCCAUUCCUGAACACCUCGGGAGUUGUCAUCUACGCUAGUGCUGUCAAGAUCAGUUUCUACAUCAAGGGGAGGAAGGAGACGUUUUCCUUCAAGAACAAGACUGCACAAAUCCCAGAACAACCCCAAUAUGAACCAAGGAAAAGGACCAACAGGAGGAACAAGAGCAAGAAGCAAGUGUGGACCGAGUCAGCCAAAAUGGUCACUGCAGUUCACAGAGGCCAAGAUCGUCAACUCAAGUCACCCUUCCUGAUAAAAAAGGAUGACCCAGGUGUGCCAUGCAUCCAGUGCUCAAUCAAUGGAUACUAUUUCCAGAAGACACUCUGCGACACCGGAUCAGGCGUCAACAUAAUGGCCACAAUCAUCUAUCAGCUUCUGUUCGGAACCAUGCCCCUAAAACCGACAUAUAUUCAGCUCCAGAUGGCAGAUCAGACAUUCCGAAAGGUUGAAGGUAUAGUAAUUGAUGUCCCUAUUAAAAUAGACGACCAUUUUGUCCAUACAGAUUUUCAGGUCAUUGACAUGGGAGAAGACGAGUACGAUCCACCCAUCAUCCUCGGAAUAUCGUUCCUUAGCACCGUUAAAGCAAUCAUCUACAUUAGAACCGGAGAAGUCCACAUGCACUUCCCCUCAGAGAAGGUACGUCGCUACUUUAAUGACCCUAACUAUAAAGUUGAAGAUUCUAAGUAGGUCAGGACAAGAAGAAGGUGACGCAACCGCAAUCAGAGGAGGCAAAACAUCAAGGACGGAUGGGCAGACUAUGAAGUAGAGGUAGUAAGGUCUGAGGACAUACAGCUUGAAUAAGAGACCGUAACACCAAGUUAGGUGUGGAGAGAAAAGAUAGUUCUACACGAAGAGGAGGCGCCGCCGGGACCACAAUCUACACCAUCCUGCGAAUCUCAAGACAACUGAGAACACAAGGAGUCACGUUCGGAGGACUUAAAAACACCGAACGCCGUACCAAGAGGUAAACUUGGUAGUUAUCACUUUCCCUUCUGUUAUUUACUUUUUUAUUAAAAAGCUUGUUUAGUUAAUCAGGUUCAUACUAUCUUAAAAAGAAAAUAAAAAUGUUAAAAACAGUAAGCCCCAUGUGAGUAUGCUCGUGGCAUAAAACCCAUAAGUACAUUCACUGUAGUGGCACACAAAAAAAAAUAAUCAUAAAAUAAAAUAAGUAAUUUUUCCUGCUCUAUAAAAUGAAAGUAUAAAAAUAGAGAGUAACACUUAUUGAGGAAGCUCAACAUGAUAAAGGCUAGGUAUUUAUGCUAACACUUAACCAGUUCCACGAAGCUUUGUUGUCUAUUUGAGGUCCACAAAAUUCAAAGAAGACUAGCAGACGGAGGACAUCCUAAUCGCUGUCAGGGUGCUGCCGACAUUCAAAUACACCUCUGCCACCUGCUAGCUACAUAAGAAGAAAUUACGUCAAGAUCUAGCUUGGGGGAGAGCACCCCCAUUUAUCCCGCUAAGUAUUUCUAUCUAUAGUUAUACUUAAACUAUAUUAAAAUAAAAAGAUACAUAAUCAUGAAAACCCAAAUAAAGAUUUUGUGCUUCUAUAUAUAUCUUUGAUAAAUAAAUAAAGUGGCUAUGCUAAACUGAAUCUUAAUAAUAAAACUCUAGCAUGGAUAUGAUGAACAGUUGCUCUGCCUAAUUUUCAAAUUUGAAGCUCUCUCUCUCUCAAGUUUAGACAUAACUGUUAUAAUUUAAAGCUUGCUCUAAACCUGAACUUGUGGGAAGAGAACUUGAUCUAAAGUCUAAGUUGUUAACGGAUAUGAUAUGGGAAGGUUGAGCUGUUGUUUAUCUGUUCCUAGAGAUGCUAGAAUUCUAGAGAAUUUUAUCUUUGAAAAUCUCUAAAAUAUCACAUGAUGAGUUCCUGUAUGAUGAGAGUUUAAAUUCCUACCAUAGCCAUACAUACAUGCUUGCUAGACUAUAAACCUUACAUUUACUUUUUACUGCUUAUGAGCAUUGAGUGUGGUCAAGCUGUGUAGACCCUUAGGAGCUUGUCAUGCGGUUAAAAUCAAGAUCCACUUGCACGUUCAUUCAUAUAUGCUGCUUCUACUCCAGAAGUACGCAUCCACAUACAUCCACUCAUUUCUAUAUCUAGAUCCACCUAAAAUUAUUCUACUCCUAUGCGGGAGAGAAUAACCAAAAACAUUCUCCUAUCCCUGUUAUUCCCUAUGAAAUAAAUGCUCAAGUUAUCUUGGUUACUACCACUUGCUAUAUUAUUCCAGGGAGAUGAGUGCUCUGAAAAAAAUGAAUAUGAGGAAAUAAAAAGGGGCAAGUGCCCAGAACCUCGAAGAAUAGAACAAGUGAGACUAGAGGUAAAAAUGGACAAGUGUCCGACAUUAGAAUUAGGGAUACAAGAUACCCACCUGAGAGAAAAGAAAAAAUAUAUAGAGCAUCUCAUUCUCCUCAAAAAGCUUUAAAGUGCAAGGAAGGUAUGUAUCCUCUCAAAAGAUCAAAAGAAGAAUUAGACUUUCACCAUUGUUAUCACCAUCAUCACCAUACACCAUUCAUUCGCCACACAUGCACAUCUUGAUUUGACUUAUUGACUUGUUUCUCUAGAUCCAUGGUUUGACUAUGCAAUAAAUGUCUUGUAAGUAUGUAUACUUUAUCUCCCACCUAUGAGCUCCAGACAUCAAAGCCUUAUUAGAGUAGGAUGAGAGAGAAGGUAAUGUCACUAUGCCUUAUACUACAAAUACCACAUACUUUGAGAGAAGGCAUAUACCAUCACUGCCUUGGUAGAGAUCUAGAAAUACCAUAAAAGAGAGAUCUGAGAGAGUCAUACAAAGGAAUCUCUGAGUUUUUUUUUUUGAAAAAACUGCAAAAACUCUAGAGCUAUAACUGAUCAAGAAUAAGAGACAUGGUGCUUGGCUAGACCGUUCUAUCUUUUAGUUGCUCAAGACAUAAGUGACGGUUGCAAGCCCCAUGGUGAAAGAUAAAAUGAGUAUGUUUUAAGUCUUAAUAGUUUACUCUAACUCAGAGAUGAGACCUCAUUUGAAAGCAUGUGUACCGUCAACAUUUUAAGGCAUUACAACAACCUCUAAUCCAUCACUGAGACUAUCCUUGCUCAGGGACGAGCAAGAGGUAAGCUUGGGGGAGUUUGUUGACGGUCCUUAAGUAUCAAAUAAAUAAAGAAAGGAUCCAAAUGUGACCAACACCCAGACUUAGGGUUUUAUCUGACAGAAUUCCACGAGUUUUGGUGUUUGUCUAUUUCUGCAGGGGGUUAUCAGAGAAUAUGGAGGAAAGGUCCACAGGUCUGGUUUACAUAGAGAUAUUAACGUGCACCGCAAUUAUCCAACAUCUAGAAGAGUCCAGAAGCCACGGGAACAAGCGGGAGGCCGAGCGGGCCCGGGGGCUGGGUGCCCGCCCUCCCCCCUUGGGCGCCCGCCCAAGGCUCCACCGACCUAAAGGAUUAAGAAAAACCGUGCGAUUAAGGUCGGUUUGAUCUGACGACCCAUAUUCAUUUGGUGGGGCUAUAUAAGCAGGCCCCCUUGCCCCUAGGGGAGGCACUCAUUCUCAUUCCUCAAACCCUAAUUCAUUCAUCAGGAGGAGAGUCUCUGAUCGAGCCCUAGAGCCACCACAUCAACUAGAUCUCUAGUUUGGCAUAGCUACAUAGGAUUAGAACUAGAAGGAGUCAAUCUUCGAUUGGUUUCCGGAUCUGUCAAGAGGAUUCUUGGUAAUUCCUCUACUGUUCUUCAUUUUUUCAUGAUUGUUCUUCAAUAUUAUGAAUACAACUUUGUUCUAUUACAAUAUAUUGAUUAUGACUUUGCUCUACUUGUUUAUAUUUACAAUUAUAUCGUUCUUAGUUCAUCAUAGUUAUAUGCUUGGCUUAGUCAGAUUGGAAUUAUAUACAUGUUUAGGAUCGUAUAGCAUUUAUCCAUCGGAUCCAUGGGUAAAUGAUAGGUAUUGUGUAGGCGUGGUGCCUAUACCGUAUUUAUCUACAAUUGUACCCUAUAUGCCAGAUCGCAGGGUAGUUCGUGGUGGUGACAGCUCCAUUGAUUCUUAUAUAGUCCCCCUCCUGUGUAUAGGGUAGACAGAGCAACAUUAUUACAGGGGCGUGAUUGCUAUGUUUCUCAUCUUCCUUGAUUAUAUCACUAUGCAUGGGCGUGGUCCUUUCUCGCAAUGAUUGCCAAGUAUAAUUGCACUAACUAUGAUAUGCUAGACUUUAUAGUUAAGAAUAACUUAGGAAAUAUUCUUGUAGUUCAUCCUAAUCCCAUGCUAAUGACUUGCUAGAAUAUUUGUUGAGGGGCUUAUCAUUAUUAUAUGUGGCUAGUUAUGCUGAUCAAAUUAGUUAUCUUUGUCACCAUUCAUACUUUAUCUAUAUUUUAUGUGACAUUUAUCCCUGUAUGCAAGAGAUAGAUGAAUGCUCUCUACUACACAUGCAAUGAUAGAUACUCAGUUCCAUAUUUCAUUCCAUAAUCAACACUGAUGUUAGUAAUCCCUUCCCAGUGGUAAAAAUAUAAAUAACGAUACUUGGAAUACUUCCAAGUUAAAAUUCUACAUCGGUAUUAAUCUAUGCGCUUGCAGAUCUCAUUUAUUAUAUAUUCAGAAGAGCAAUUGCAUAUUUCAAUACCACGUCUCUCAUGUCAUGCUGGGGAUGACAACUUGGCUUAAGUGGCAUGAGGGAUAGGUUUGGCAUUUUUUGGCGCCGUUAUCAGGAAUAGAAAACUAAGUCUACUUUUGAUAAUGACGUUAAGAAUGCCCAACACUCUCCUUUCCCUGUUAGGGAAAGCCCGGAUGGUGGACAGAUUUUGGCCACUUCAUCUUGGCACCAUCAUGUUGUUCGGGAGUUUGGAGUUCAUGUCUCUUGGCUCCAGCUAUGACAUGGUCCUACUCCCACCUCGUGACAAUGCGGAGUCACAUCACGAGCCAAUCCCACAAAAGCCAGCGUGUGGGACACGCUCGGGACACCAUGCAAGGGGAGCCCGGCGUGGGCGUCAGAGGUCCAGGAUCUCUGACCCCACUACUGAAAGUAGGACUCGUCCAGCACUCCCCCCGCACAUUCCUCAUUAGAUCGUCCGUUCCUCUGGCCCACGCGGUACCAGAGGUAGAGCCCGUGGAGUGUCCAGCUCUGCCCCACAAGCCAACAAGGGGACGUGACGACCCCCUAUUCUGCCCCGGUCAAAGGGCAAAGCACAGCCUCCACCUCCACUUCAAAUGGAGGACCCAGGGGCUUCAACUUCACAGCUCCCUCCCAUGUCACCCGAAAUGACGGUGGGAGGACAACUGCCACUUAUGCCUCUUCUGUGAGCACCUCAUUGAGUGCGUACGAGGAUCUCCGAGGCAUCACCUAAGGUCUACUCUUGACCUUUUCGCCACGCCACCCAUUCCAUCAUACCCUAUGGAUCCCACCUUAGGUGAGGAUGAUUGGGCCGGCGCUGACUUCUCCAGUCUUGGUGACCCAAAGACCUUCAUGUGCUUCCUUGAGGCAAGCAACUAUUGCCUCGGCUACUCCGACUCUGAUGAUGCCGGCUACGACCCAUCAUGAGAGUGCUUCAACCUCGAGGUUGACGGAGCAGCCCUGGACCCCCAAGGAGGCACAAGACCCUCUGAGCGGCGGAACGUGACUCCCCCUCCAAACAUGACCCCCGAGGGUCAUCCUGGAGCUCACGGAGCCGUGUCUGCCCCGGUAGAGGCUCGACGACCUGACCUCGAGCAGCUCAACGAGCUGGAGGCCACGCUCAAAGAGGAACGUGUACAUCUCCGACGACUGCGUGAAACCUAGAGCGGGACUAGUCCGCUCGAGGGGAUAGAGGUGCGGCCAGACGCCAUGCCCAGGACGUCAAUCGGCGCAUUGUCGAAGACGACGGGGGGUGGGGGGGUGGGGGGAUAACCUCCCCAGUUUUCAGCAUGGCCAGCAAGAAUGUAAUGACUGCUGCACUGCUCCUCAGGGCGAUGCCCGAGCCAUCGACCCCUGAGGGAAUAAGAGUGCGCUAGGGGCUCUGAGGCCUCCUAGAGCAAGCAGUGGUACAAAACGCGGAAAGCUCCGUGUCAUAGUCCCACGACACAAGGGCAAGAUGCCCGGGGGAUCAACCCGCUCCUAACUAAGCACCAACCAUGCUAGCCCCAGCACCCCCUAAUCCGCAAGGGGGCGCUAAGGCUCCAUCUAUCCAAGAGCGCAUCGGGACCAACAUGGAUGUUCGAGCCACCCUCGAGGCCAGACAUCGCGAUAGGGACGACGCUAAAUAUCGACGCUACCGACCGCGCCGAGGUGGGAGGUACGACCCUGAGCAUGACCGCAGCACAUCGCCUGAGCCUCUGGGCCCCCACGUUUUUAGCGAGGCGAUCCGUAGGGUCAUGUUUCCGGCCUAGUUCCGAUAGCCAGUGAACCUCACCAAGUACUAAGGGGAAACCAUCCCUGAGCUCUGGCUAGCGGACUACCGCCUUGCAUGCUAGCUAGGCAGAGUGGAGGAUGACUUCCUCAUCAUUUGCAACCUGCCACUACACCUGGCCGACUCGGCCAGGGCAUGGCUCGAGCAUCUCCCUUAGCGUCUGAUCCAUCGCUGGGCCGAUCUGGUCAGGAUCUUUGUUAGGAACUUCCAGGGCACGUACAUGCGCCCUAGAAACUCCUAGGACCUCAGGAGCUAUCGGCAGAAGCCUAAUGAGUCCCUCCGGGAUUUCAUUAGGCAAUUCUCCAAGCAGUGCACCGAGCUCCCCAACAUCACAGACUCCAACGUCAUCGGAGCCUUCAUUGCCGGCACCACCUGUAAGGAGUUGGUGCAUGAACUUGGGUGCAAGACCCCCACAAGCACUAGCUAGUUGCUCGACAUCGCAACAAACUUUGCCUCAGGCAAGGAGGUAGUUGGGGCAAUCUUCUCUGAUGGCAACGCCAAGGGGAAGCAGAAAGUCGAGGCCACCAAGGCCUCAGCCUCCCAAGACCCUAAAAAGAAGAAAAAGGGUCGCAAGGGGAAGCAGUGUCAGUCGGACGACAACCUUGUCGCCGUGGCAGAUUGCAAGAACCCCAAGUGGGCUCCUAUUGGCCCUAGUCUCUUCAAUGAAAUGUUGAAGAAGCCAUGCCCCUAUCACAGGGGCCCCACCAAGCACACCAUCGAGGAGUACACCCUCAAGAAGACGCAGAAGAGCCCCCCAAGGACAACGACGCCGAGGGGGAAGGCAUCCCCAAGGUCAAGAACUGUCUCUUGAUCUUUGGGGGACGCACGGCUCACCUCACUGUGAGUCAUACAAAGGAAUUAUCCUCGUACCUCAAAUGGUUAGAGAACGCCAUCACCUUCGAUCGAUGAGAUCACCCAGAUCGUAUCCCGAAUCUUGGGAGUUAUCCUCUCAUCGUCGACCCCAUCAUCGCCGAGACCCGUCUCUCCAAGGUGUUGAUGGACGAAGGUAGCAGCCUCAACAUUCUCUACGCCGAUAACCUGGCCCUCAUGGGGAUCAGCAAGUCUAGACUAAGGAAUGAUGCAUCGCCAUUCCAUGGAGUGGUGCCGGGGCACCGAGCCCAUCCCCUCGAGUAGAUCGAUCUGCCCGUUUGCUUUAGGACCCCCGACAACUCAAGCGGGAGGUCCUCACCUUCGAUUUGGUCAGGUUCCCUGGGACCUACCACGUGAUUCUAGGGAGGCCAUGAUAUGCCAAGUUCAUGGCCGUCCCCAACUAUACCUACCUUAAGCUCAAGAUGCCGGGACCCAACAGCAUGAUCACUGUCAGCAGAAUAAGCUAGCAUGCCUAUCAAUGUGAUGUCAAAUGCAUUGAACAGGCUGAGGCUCUAGCCGAGUCGCUGUCCAUCAUCACCGGCCUUGGCAACAUCAACCGAGACAUCCCCGACCCCAAGUGUAACAGAGGGAGCUUUGAGCAGGCAGAGGAGACCAAGCUCAUCUUCCUCGAUCUCGAGGCCUCCGAAGGCAGGGCAUUGAGGAUCAGCUCAACCCUCGACCCCAAAUAGGAAGCAGCACUUGUUGACUUUCUCUGUGCAAACACCAAUGUGUUUGCAUGGAGUCCCUCGGACAUGCCACGCAUACCGAGGGAAGUCACCGAGCACUCCUUGGACAACCAAGCCGGCUCCAAGCCUGUGAAGCAGCGUCUGCGCUGAUUCGAUGAGGAGAAGCGCCGGGCCAUUGGAGAGGAGAUCCACAAGCUGCUGGUGGCCGGAUUCAUCAAGGAGGUAUUCCAUCCCAAGUGGUUAGAUAACCCUAUACUAGUCAAAAAAAAUGGAAAAUGGAGGAUGUGUGUUGUUUAUACUAGGCUUAAUAAAGCAUGUCCUAAGAAUCCUUUUCCAUUACCUCGAAUUGACCAAAUAGUUGACUCUACUACAGGAUGUGAAACUCUAUCUUUUCUUGAUGCAUAAUAUGGAUACCACCAAAUCAAGAUGAAAGAGUCCGAGCAGCUCGCGACCUCUUUCAUCACCCCUUUCGGAAUGUUUUGCUAUGUUACCAUGCCAUUUGGACUUAAGAACGCAUGGGCGACAUACCAGUGAUGUAUGCUCUAGGUCUUCGGAGACCUCAUAGGAAGAACGGUAGAGGCUUACGUAGAUGACAUCAUAGUCAAAUCUAGGAAGGCAAGUGGCCUUGUAGCCGACAUAGAUGAGACAUUUCGAUGCCUUAGAGCUAAAGGAAUUAGGUUAAACCCUGAGAAAUGCAUUUUCGGGGUAGCCUAAGGCAUGCUCCUUGGGUUCAUAGUCUGUGAGCGAGCGAUCGAGGCCGAUCCCGAGAAGGUCUCGGCAAUAGCUAACAUGGGCCCAAUCCACAAUCUAAAGGGGGUGCAGAGAGUCAUGGGAUGCCUUGCGUCCCUCAGCUGGUUCAUCUCCCACCUAGGGGAGAAAGGGUUGCCUCUGUAUAUGUUGCUUAGAAAAACCGAGCACUUUUCUUGGACCCCUGAGGCACAGGAAGCGCUUGUCAAGCUCAAGGCUUUGCUCACCAAGCCCCCUAUCUUAGUACCCCCCGCUGAGGGGGAGCCACUACUCCUUUAUGUUGCAGCCACUGACCAAGUGGCUAGCAUGGCUAUCAUGGCCGAAAGGAAGGAAGAAGGGCACGCCCUACCGGUCUAGAGGCCGGUGUACUUCGAUAGCAAAGUACUCUCUGACACUAAGACCCGAUACCCCCAAAUCCAAAAGCUACUCUACGUAGUAGUCCUAGCCCGACGCAAGUUCCACCAUUAUUUCCAGUCUCAUCCCAUCUCGGUGGUCUCAUCUUUCCCUUUGGGAGAAGUGAUGCAAAACCGAGAGGCCAAUGGCAGAAUUGCUAAGUUGGCUAUAGAGCUCAUGGGUGAUGGGAUCACCUACGAGCCUCGGAAGGCCAUAAAAUCUCAAGUUCUAGCCGAUUUCAUGGCUGAGUGGACGGGAACUCAGCUUCCUCCACCCUAGAUCCAGUCUGAGUGCUGGACCUUGUACUUCAACAGGUCUCUGAUGAAGACCGGAGCCGGCGCAGGCCUCGUCUUUAUCUCACCCCUUGGAGAAAGGAUGCGAUACGUAAUCCGACUCCACUUCCCCGCCUCAAAUAAUGUGGCACAGUAUGAGGCCCUUGUCAAUGGUCUCCACAUUGUGAUCGAGCUUGGGAUCAAGCGGCUCGACAUCCGAGGUGACUCAAGGUUCAUCAUUGACCAAGUCAUGAAGGAGUUGAGUUGCCAUGAUACCAAGAUUGACGCAUACUGCAAGGCGGUCCAACACUUGGAAGAAAGGUUCGAUGGCCUCGAACUCAACCACAUGUUGAGAAAAUACAAUGAGGCCACCGAUGCACUUGCAAAGAUGGUAUCCGAGUAGGCUACGGUCCCCAUACAUCUUUGUCAGUGACCUCCACAAGCCCUCCAUCGACUACAAAGAAGGCGAAGGCCCGGACCACCCCUUGGCAAACCCAGCUCCAAGCUCCGAGGCCACCACAGUUCUCGAGCCGGAGGCCAUGGACAUCAAGCCCGAGGUGCCCGCACUAGAUGACGUGCUGGACUGGCGAUAUCCUUUUGCUGCAGCGCCUCAUUGAUGGCACUCUACCCUCGGACCAAGCGGAGGCGCGUCGAGUAGCCCACCGCGCCAAAGCUUUUUUUCUUCUCAAUGGCGAUAUGUACAAGCGCAGCCCCUCUGGCAUCCUCAUGCACUACAUCACCAGCCAAGAAGGAAUAAAACUCCUUUAGGAGAUACACUCGGGGGCUUGCGGCCAUCACGCGGUGCCUGACGCUAGUAGGAAAUGCCUUCCGACAAGGUUUCUUCUAGCCUACCGCUGUGGCAGACGCCACUCAGAUCGUUCGGACCUGUGAGGGAUGCUGGUUCUAUGCUUGGUAUAUUCACCUCCCGGCUCAAGCUCUGCAAACGAUGCCCAUUACCUGGCCCUUCACAAUCUGGGGCCUCGACCUCGUUGGGCCUCUACAGAAGGCGCCCGGGGGCUUCACCCACUUGCUUGUCGCAAUUUACAAGUUCUCUAAGUGGAUUGAAGUCCAACCCAUCACAAGAAUCAAUGCCAAACAAGUCAUGCUAUUCUUCAUAGAUAUUAUCCACUGAUUUGGAGUGCCCAACUCCAUUAUCACAGAUAACGGCACAUAGUUCACCGGUCGGAAGUUCCUGGACUUUUGCGAUAGACACCACAUAAGUGUGGACUCGGCAGCAGUGGCUCAUCCAAAGACCAAUGGGCAGGUAGAGCGUGCCAAUGGCAUGAUCCUCCAAGGUCUGAAGCCCAGGAUCUUCAACUGGCUGGACAAGUUCAGAAAGAGGUGGCUCAAAGAGCUAUCGGCCGUCAUUUGGAGUCUAAGGACUUCCCGAAGCCCAGCCACAGGCUUCACCCCAUUCUUCAUGGUCUACGGAUCCGAGGCUGUCCUUCCCACGGACCUGGAGUACGGGUCUCCAAGAGUACAAGCCUACGACAAAAACAACUACAAGACGUUCCAAGAAGAUGCACUGGACCAACUUGAUGAGGCCAGGGAUGUAGCCCUCCUACAUUCGGCCAAGUACCAGCAGGCUCUCCGACGCUACCACGCUCGAUGAGUCUGAGGCCAAGCCUUCAGAGUUGGUGACUUGGUGCUGAGGCUCAAGCAAUGCAACAAGGGCCAUCACAAGCUCACGCCUCCCUGGGAAGGACCCUUUGUCAUCGCCGAAGUUCUCUGACCUGGCACAUACAAGCUCACCAAUGAUAAAGGGGAGGUCUACAACAACGCGUGGAACAUAGAACACCUACGUCGCUUCUACCCUUAGAAUUUUGUAAAGGAAUCAUUUGUACUUUACCCCAAAGAAGUAAUAAAAUAUAUAAACCACAUGUUUGUUUACCUUUAGAGAGUGAGCCUCAGCUCUGCCCUGCAGAGUCCGAACCUCCCUCGGGGGCUACACGUGGGGAACCCCUUGUGAUGACCCUAAAUUUUUUGCAUAAGUUCGAAUACCCCAACCCAAGACCUCUUUUUUCCUUUCUUAAGAGACUAAAAACCAUAGACUAAUCUCCUAAGUCUUAAGAUGGAACGAGCCAGAAAGCCGAUCACGCCCACAGGCUAAGGCACUUUCUACUCACCCCUUAGGAUCGGGAGAUGAAUUUGUUUGGAUUUUAGAACAUUAAGAAAAGGGAAGAGACUUAGGCUCGGGACAUCCUAACCGAAAAAACUCAGACCCUUGACGGCUCACCCAACCUCAUGCUGCCGAGGCUGGGUCGGCCCCAAGGUAAAAGAGAAAUGCAAAGAAUUCCUAAAGGAAAAAACAUUCAUACUUCAUAUAGAUAUUAAGUCCACAAAAAGGGGUCCCACUGGCCUCCAAAGUUUACAAAAUAUACUAAAUAAAUACAAGGGCUUCAUUGCCCUACUUGCCCAGGGUCUUGCACACUAAGGGGGGAAGCUCUACUUCAGCGUCAAAGAAGGAGGCUAGGGCGUCAACCAGGACCUCGGCAGCAUUGGAGAGCUUCUACACUUCUUCCUCAGCCUCCUCUUUUUUAUCAGGAAGGACAUAGCCCUCACUUACUGCCGGCAGAUCGAUGCCGACGUAGUAAGAGCUCACCACGGCUAGGGCCUUCUUCACCCUAGCAUGGAGGGUGUCCCACAGCCUCUCCCUAGCCCAGGAGUACAGAUCCUCGAUGCGUCCCUGCAGAGAAGACCCCGAUGGGCCUGCUUCAAACCAAGUCCCUCAUACGCCGAGGCAACAGCGGCUUCUAAUGCCAAGCGCUCCACGACCUCAGCAUCAAGGGACUUUUGUAGGGCGUCGGCUGCAGAGACCACCUCGGCCACCUUCCCCUCUAGCUCUACAGUAAAAGGGCAAUGAAAAAGGUAAGGUUACGGUUAUUACCUUCCACACGCUUCCUAUUUUCUUCCACCCAACACUGCCAUAGAGAAACCUAGCUAAGAGCCUCGACAAGCUCCCCCUGGUCUUGGUUCAGGGCGAGGUCCCUCUAGGCAAGCAAGGUCUCCACCCAGACAACCUCGCCCUUGUAUCUCUUGGUGGUGGCGUUCCGCUCCAGAGAUUCCUGGAUAAGCUUGCUAACCCUCUUUUCCAGAGGAGUGACCUUUGCCCGAGCAUCCCGAGCCUCGGUCUCAAGCCCGGAACACCUUCGCCGGAGGUCGGCGGACACCUCGCACUCCUUUGUGAGCUCCCCGUCGGCUGUUUCCCGAGCGGCCCCCUCAUCUUGCCAGGCCGCCCAUGCGUCCUGCUCCCGUCGAAGGAAGUCGGACUUCUCCUGGGACAUGGCCUUGAGCGCCUACAAGGUAAACACCACACAGAACAUCAACAGAAAGGUGUGAACAAAACACACCUCAUAAAACGGAGGGCACUCUUACCCGGGCAAGCUUGUACAUAUCUCGGCUCACGAGCGCAGACGCCCGAUUGAUUGCCUCGAGACUGCCAUGACCGCAUUCCUCAAGACCUUGCCAGAGGUAUGCCUCUGAUGGGUCAUCCAGGACGAACCUGGCCCUCCCCUCUGGAUCUUUGAGGUCGGGCGAGAUUACCGGGGCUUUGCCCCAUGACGCGACGUACCGUCCUUCUCCCCCGGGGGCCUCUGGUUGGACCAGGCCUUUUCUGUGGGGCCUUGUCGGGGGUGCCGUGUUAAGGGCCACCUCGACGUGACCCACCUCGGUCUGGCCGGACCUUGCCGCACCCCCAGGUCUACAUCCCUGAAAGGGGGGAUGGCCCCGAGGGCCAGGACCAUCCCCUUUGGCUCCUGGGACCUCAGUGCCUCGACCUCCUCCGCUUGGGGCUCCGGCGUCUUCUCCCGUGACCCCUGUUCCGCACCCUCUCGAGGGCGUUCUUCCUCCUCACGGGUUAACGGGGGCAGUGACCUAGGACUUGCCGACCUAGGGGUCGACUGCGCCCCCCUCUCAACGGCCUUUAGGGGCGCCAGCCCCACCGAUGCCACUUUCUGCUUUCAGCUGGCAAAAAGAUGGCAAAGAUAAGAAGAAGAAAGAGAAAAACAAAAAAAGAGGAUAAAAGCCUUGAGUAGACACUUACCAUGCCGCCGCCCCUGGGUCGCGGUGGCCCCAAUGGCUGUUCCGGCCUUCGGCGGCUUCACCUCUGUCUCAGGACAGGGCUCGGUUGGGGCCUUCGGGCCCAUGGGCGCUUCAGGCUCUCCGCUCGAUGGCCUCUGCCCACCUUGGGGACCCACGGGAACUGAACCCUCGUGAGGGGCUUCGUCCCCACCUUCGUCAACAAUGAUGUAGGGGGCGCCCUCUAUGCCCCUAGGAAUCCGUGACCCCCUUGGGCCUCUGACCCCCACCGGACGGGGGGACCUCUUCAUCAUCCUCCUCUUCUAGGAGCUCGUUCAGCCAGUGUGCGUCUUCCCCGCCCUCUAUCUCCAAGACCAAAGGCUCGGAGGAUUCAGGGGAGCCCCGCAUUCUCAGCCUCACGACGGCGCUUGGCCAACGCCUCUGCCUUCUUUGCCUUCUUUGCUUUCUUCUCCUCCUUCAGGCGCUUCUGCUCCUCGUUCUUGCCCUGGUUCUAGGCCCAGAUCUCCUUGUCCUCUAGGACCGGGGGUAGGACGUAUUUGAUAAUGCCCAUCCCCUGCGAACAGAUGGCGACUCGAAUAAAAACCAAGGCGAAGAAGAGGACGAUGAAGCAGGGAUAGGGGUGGAGAUGUCUUACCAGAGAGAUGUAGUCCCUAUCAGGACGCAUCGGGAUAACCCAAUAAUUCUUCAACUUCGCGAGGGCCUCAUAGAGGGGAUCCAACUUCUUUUGCUCUACCGCAGGAGUGCCCCACCCCCAUUUUGUGGGGGCACUCAGUCACCAUAUUCUACUUUGGGAGAAGGCCAUGGUCGUUUCGUAGGUAGAACCACCCGUUCUGCCACCCUCGGUUCGACGAUGGCAUGAUGCUCCAGAUAUACUGGAUGGAGCGUGACUGCCGGAGCUAGAGCGUCCAGCCGCUGGUCCUCAAGGGCCUCUUCUCCCCGCCCUCGUUGUGGGAGAACAUCUCCGCCUUGAAGAGGUGGAGCCAGAGGUUCCAAUGGGGAGGGAUCCCCAGGUACCCCUCGCAAACCAUGGCGAAGACGGCCACCUGCAUAAUCGAGUUGGGGUUGAAGUUGUGCAACUCCACCUCGCAGUGGUUGUUGACAGUUCUUAAGUGUCAAACUUUAAUUAUCAAAUAAACAAGGGAAAGGACCAAUAUACAAACAACACCUAGAAUUAGGGUUGGAUUUGAUAGAAUUCCACGAGUUUUGUUGUUUAUCCGUUUCUGCAGGGGGUUAUCAGGAAAUAGGGAAGAAAGACCCACAUGUUGGGAUUACAUAGAGAUAUUAACGAGCCGUGCAAUUUUCUACCAUCUAGAAGACUCUAGAAGCCACGGGAACGAACAAGAAGGCGAUCGGACCCGGGGGCAGGGCGCCCGCCCACCUCCUGUAGCCAAUCAUGGUGAAUCACGUGGAUUAUGCUCCACUGACCUAAAGGAUCAAGGAGAACCGUUCAAUCAAUGUCGGUUUGAUCCGACGACCCACGUUCACCUGAGGGGACUAUAUAAGCAGACCCCCUGGCCCUUGGAGGAGAACAAGUUCAUUAUAGAGUUGAGAGGUGCCCUCGAAGGAUAACCUUUCCUCUACAUAGACUUAGGGCUUAGCAUCCAAUGUGAGAGUAGACUAGUUCUACUAGAUUGAGAGAGAUAGAGUGGAGGUGUAGAUCGGAGGAAGCCCGGCCUGUCGGUGUCUACUCUAAGGUUGUACCUGCGGGAUCAAAUCUCCUAACCUGAGGCUUGCUCCUAGGAUUCUUUAGUAUUUCGACUUCUAAAUUCUAGUAAGUUCUUGUUUUAUUGUUCUUUGGUUUAUGAGUUUACUUUGAACUCUUCGCGUAGAGUUUAGAGUAAUCAUCUCUAGCGUAAACGUGGUGUUUGGGCUAGGAUACUGAUAGAUAUCCCGUGACUAGCUAGACCGUGGUAGUAGCGAGGAACGUGACAUUUCCGAGUUACCUUUGUAGCCCAUAUCUCGUUAGUAGAAUCGAUAGGGUUUGUAGGUGCGGGUCGAGCAUCCUUGUGGUGUCUAGAUUCCGUGAGCUUCCCCAACAGAACAGUAGAUCAUCCUUACCAAGGUUAGAAUGAGAGUGCAGUUAUAGUCUUCUCUAUACAUCACUCACAUCGAAUCACACUCUUUGUAGCCUAAAGUAUGGUAGUAAUAGACCGAGUUAGUCAGAUGCACUCUUUCUCCUAGUGGUAAAAAUAUAAAUACGAUAUCUGUGCGCUUGCGGAUUAAUUCUGAUUGCGUUACCAAAUAUCAACAAGCAUUUCUGGCGCCGUUGCCGGGGAGAAAGACGGUUUGCUGAGAUAACCUUGAGUCCUACUACUAGCUUGUAUUUAUACUUUUAUCUUUUCUUAUCUUUUUAUAUUCUUUAUUUUCUUUACUCUUACCUUAUGGAAAACCAAGAUUCUAAAUCGAUCUAUCAAUUUGCAACACCUUCGGAAACUGACCUUUUACCAUGGGAGUCAUCACAGCCUAUCCAAACAUCCCAGUAUAGGUUAAGUUCUAGGUUGAUUUCUAUGAUUCAAAACCUAUCUUUUUCAGGAAAGGAAGACGAAAACCCUUACCUUCACAUUAGAGAUUUUGAGCAAACAUGUGAUUGUCUUCGCAUUGAAGGCAUUUCUGAUAAAACUUUACGUUGGAAGCUUUUUCCUUUUUCUUUAAGGGGAGAAGCUAGACAAUGGUAUAAUCAGAAGGUAAGUCAACAACGAGGUGAAUGGGGAGUCUUACGAGCCAACUUUUGCCUAGAUUUUUAUUCCCUCGACCGUAUCGGUGACCUUAGAGUCGAAGUCCUAUCUUUUAAACAAAAAGAUAAUGAAACUUUGAUAAAAUCCUAGAAACAUUUUUCUGAUCUUUUAGAAUCUGGUCCAAACAUUAAUCUUGAAGACCCUGUUCUUUUAUUUCACUUUUUUCGAGGUCUUCAGAAAGAUCACAAACAAAUGCUACAUACAGUGUCUAGAGGUUCUUUCUUUCGCAUCCCUACUGAUGACGCUAGAGUGAUCCUGGAUAGAAUCCUAGAAGCUGAGAUGGAUAAUACCCUUCAUGAUGAAACCCACGAAGCCGAAGUAGACACUCUGCCAAAUUCUCAAUCUACUUUAGCUAUCCCAAGUUCUGAGCCACAAAAGGAAGAAAUUCCACCACCUGAUUUCAUGCUAGAUAUAGAAUCCGAUCUUUUUGCCAAUUUUGGGAACAUUUCAAACUACCAUUCUAUAGACAGACCCCAAAACAGCCAUUUUAGCAUUUGUUUGCCAACUGAACAUCAAUUGAGAGAGCUUAUCAUAGUCAUGAGCAGCGAAUGGUUGGAGGAGUCAGAGCUUUCCUCCGAUGUGAUCCGUUUAGACACACCUCCUAUAACUAUACGCUGUGCUUAUGAUUCUGAUCAACUUGAUGCUCUCUAUAAUCCUGUUGUGGGGAUCAACAUCAUGUCUGAAGCUUUUGCACUUAAAUUAUUUAAAAAAUUGGUUUUAACCCCCACCACAAAGGUCAUAAAGGAAUCUUCGGGACGAUUAGUCCCUAGUCUUGGAAUUAUUAAUGUCCUACCCCUUAUGGUAGAAGGCUCGAUGGUUCAUUUGAACUUUUAUAUCUUUGAUACAUGGGACUUUGACCUGUUGAUAGGACAACCUUUUAGAAGACUCCUUUAUGAAGGUCAUACUAGAAAGCUACACAUUUCUUUUAGAAAAACUUUUAAAUUUCCAAUAACGAUUUCUCACCCCUUAAAUGAUAAGACUGAGUCAUAUCUUUUGCCCGAUCCUACGGAGGAGGUAAAAGCUGCAUCUCUAGAGCUUUUAGAUGAACCAGACUUACAAGAAGAAGCUCCUUUCUUCAUAGAAGAAGAAGCUGAACCUUCUGAACCUGAACCCUUAGACGAGUUUGCAGAAACACCUAGACCUCCAAUAGAGCAUAAAACUUUACCACCCGGUCUUACCUAUGCUUUCCUAAACAGUAAUCCAGAGUUUCCUAUGAUCGUUAGUGAUAAACUCACUCAGGAGCAAACUCUGCGAUUAAUGACCAUUCACGAGAAACAUCACUCAGUUUUUGGCUACUCACUCCAACAUCUUACACGAAUCAGUCCUAUGAUUUGUACCCAUCAUAUUCCGACAGAUCCUUCUGUUUCACCUUCUCAAGAGCCCCAACGUAGACUUAACAACGCGAUGAGAGAGGUAGUUAAAAAGGAAGUUAUAAAGUUGUUGCAUGCAGGGAUUAUAUAUCCUAUGCCGCACAGUGAGUGGGUGAGCCCAGUUCAAGUUGUGGCUAAAAAGGGAGGCAUGACUGUUGUUACGAAUGAAAAGAACGAGCUAAUUCCGCAAUGCACCGUCACAGGGUGGCGGAUGUGCAUAGACUAUAGGAAACUGAACAAAGCCACGAAAAAGGAUCAUUUUCCUUUACCUUUCAUAGAUGAGAUGUUAGAGCGAUUAGUGAACCAUUCGUUCUUCUGUUUCUUAGAUGGAUAUUCAGGGUAUCACCAGAUCCCGAUCCAUCCCGAUGAUCAAAGCAAAACCUUACAUGCCCAUACACAACUUAUGCUUACCGUAGAAUGUCUUUUGGGUUAUGUAAUGCACCAGCUUCUUUUCAAAGAUGCAUGAUGUCUAUCUUUUCUGAUAUGAUUGAAGAGAUUAUGGAAGUUUUCAUGGAUGCUUUCUCUGUAUAUGGAAAAACUUUUGAUAGUUUUCUUAAAAACUUAGACAAGGUUUUGCAAAGAUGUGAAGAAAAGCACUUAGUCCUUAUUUGGGAAAAAUGUCAUUUUAUGGUUAGGGAAGGAAUAGUGUUGGGACACCUAGUGUCUGAAAGAGGUAUUGAGGUAGACAGCUAAAAUUGAAGUAAUUGAACAACUACCUCCACCUAUGAAUAUAAAAGGAAUUCGAAGCUUUCUUGGCCAUGCUGGUUUUUAUCGUAGAUUCAUAAAAGAUUUUUCAUUCAUUGCUAGAUCACUUACUCUUUUGCUAGCCAAGGAUGCUCCUUUCGAAUUUGAUGAUGCAUGUCUAACAUCUUUCAAUUUAUUAAAGAAUGCACUCAUCUCUGCACCAAUCAUUCAACCCCCUGAUUGGUCGUUGCCUAUUGAAAUUAUGUGUGAUGCUAGUGAUUAUGCUGUGGGGGCAGUUUUGGGACAAACUAAAAAUAAGAAGCAUCAUGCAAUUGCUUAUGCCAGUAAAACUUUGACAGGAGCUCAACUUAAUUAUGCAACCACUGAAAAAGAGCUUCUGGCUGUUGUCUUUGCCAUUGAUAAAUUUAGAUCUUAUUUAGUUGGAGCUAAAAUAAUUGUCUACACUGAUCAUGCUGCACUAAAAUAUCUGCUCACUAAAAAAGAUGCUAAACCUCACCUGAUUAGAUGGAUCUUAUUACUUCAAGAAUUUGACUUAGAAAAAAGAUAAAAUGGGAGUAGAAAAUUCUGUUGCUGAUCACUUGUCUAGAAUGUAUUUUAAGAAUCCACAGGAAACCCCCAUCAAUGAUUCACUCCGGGACGACAUGCUCUACGGGAUUAACAGGUCUGACCCCUGGUAUGCACAUAUUUUUAAUUUUAUGGUUUCAGGGUAUGUACCACCAGGAGCGAACAAGAAGAAGCUUAUUCACAAAAGUCAUUCACAUAUAUGGGAUGAGCCAUACCUCUUCCAAGUAUGCUCUGAUGGCUUACUCAGGAGAUGUGUGACUGUUGACGGUCCUUAAGUACUAAAAUUAAUAAUCAAAUAAACAUGGAAAAGGAUCAAUAUGAAACAAACAUCUAGAAUUAGGGUUUUAUCUGACAGAAUUCCACGAGCUUUGGUGUUUAUCUAUUUCUGUAGGGGGUUAUCAGAGAAUAUGGAGAGAAGGCCCACAUGUCAAGUUUACAAUGAGAUAAUUAUGUGCCGCGCAAUUUUCUUCAAUCUAGAAGACUCCAGAAGCCACGAGACCGAAGCAGAGGCGAAACGGGGCUAGAGGCAGGGCGCCCGCCCUCCUGCCCUGGGCGCCCGCCCCCUCUGUGAGUCCAAUUGGGACUCUAUUUCGUGGGAGAUCUCCACCGACCUAAAGGAUCAAUCGAAACCAUACAAUCUAUGUCGGUUUGAUCUGACGGCCCAAAUUCACUUGAAAGGACUAUAUAACCAAGGCCUCUCCACCCCUGGAGGAGAGAGGAGAAGAGAAGAAAUCAUUAUUCAGAGGUAGCCAUCAAAGUUAGGGUUUAGAGCUUCUCUCCCACAGAGAAUUAGAAUUAGCUACUCCCUAAUCCUUCAUGUUUAGAGGUUUGAUUAGAUAGCAAUUAGAGAAGUAGAGCACUACGCUCUGGAUUCGGAUCUUCGGUAAUAAAGAUUGGUAUUAUUCAUAUCUUUCUCUAAUUCUUUGUUCUAAUUGCAUUAUGUCUCUAAUUAUUAUGUUCUUAGUUUGCUCUAGUUCUAUAUUUGAUAUAGUUAUGAUUGAUAAUGAGUUUAUGUAUAAGUUUGCAAAGCGCUUAGCUCUUGACGCGAGGGAGUUAGGUGAUAGAUCACAUGUGAGCGUGGUGCUUAGAUGUUAUUUAUCUGCACAUGCAUCCUAUUGGCCAGGUUGUGUGGUAGUUCGUGAUAGUGACAGCUUCGUUGAUUCUUAUAUAGUCCACCCUCCGUUAAUAGGACAGGCAGAACUGGUAUUGUGGAGUAAGUCGUGCGAUGCUCUGAUUUACUUUAUCAAUGUUCCUUAUACAUGAAUGAAGAGUCUUUUAUGCUAUACAUGAUCUUGUAGAUAACUAGAGUAGAUUAUGACUUAGUAGAUAGUAGAUAACUUAGAAUCCAUUCUCUAGCUAAUGUGACAUCACCUACAUAUAUGAUGAGUAGUCUAUUUUCUAAUCGCUGUGUUAUUUAUCCCUUGAACUUAUAACUCAUUAUCAUUAUCUUUGGUUUACCCCCUGCUAAAGUAAGUGACUGUGUGACGAGUUUCUCAUUAGUAAUCAUGUUCUUGCAAGUUUAUCUCUAGUCUAUGCCUUGAUAGAUUUUGCCCUUAAUUUAAUCUCCUUAGAUCCCUUGAGCAAAAUUAUAAAUAACGAUACCUGGAAUACUUAUCCUGGUGAAAUGCUACAAUGAGGUGUUUUAUCUGUGCGCUUGCGGAUAGAAUAGAUUAUUUUCUAGAGAGCCUUUACAUUUAUAAAUACCUUUGUACACUCUGGCACCAUGCUGGGGAUGAUAACCUAGUAUCUAAGUGGUGUUAGCUAGUGUCAACAAGCAUUUCUGGCGCCGUUGCCGGGGAGCAAAAGGGUAAUAUAUAGGAACAGCAAGGAAAGUCAGGAAAUUAGUCAAGGUUAUUCAUAUAAAAUAUUAGACUAGACUAUAGAGAAAUAAUUGCAUAAACAACUACUAAGUGAGAAAUCAUAACAAGGCACCUCUGCUUUGGCAGGUUCACCCUGUUGUUUUUCUAUGUUUAUAUUUUUAUACAGGGUAUAUCAGGAUUGACUUUGGGUACAUUCAACUCUUCAUCAUCAGAACCAAAGCAAUCAAGAGAAGAAGAAGCUAGCUACCAAUUGCUGAAGCUAUGGCACAAAAGACCUUGCAAGAAUUCUCUGCUCCAAGUCUUGACAACAUUCCAACUAGUCCAAGAUUUGCAGUAGAAGAAGGAGCACCUGAGUUUGAGCUCAAGUCAAGCCUCGUCAAUUUGGUGCAAGCUACACAAUUCAGUGGGAAAGCACAUGAAGAUGAUAGUACACACUUGCAGAAUUUCUUAUAGAUCGGAAGCACAAUCCACAUCAACGGAGUUGACAAAGACGUCAUACUGCUUCGCCUUUUUCCAUUCUCACUAGAAGGGAAAGCGAGGAAGUGGUUCUACACUCAUCAAGAUAACAUCAACAACUGGACGAACUUGUCAGAUGCCUUUCUAUCAAAGUUUUUCCCUAUAGGCAAAACAACUGCCUUAAGAGGAAAUAUUGUCAGUUUCCAACAAUAGAAGACAGAAGCCAUUUCAGAAGCAUGGGAGCGUUUUCAAGGAUACAUAUCAGAUUGUCCUCACCAUGGAAUGGCGACAUGGUUACAAAUGCAGACCUUCUACCAUGGAUUAACCCAGAAGGCUCGUGAGUGCCUAGAUGCAUCUGCUAAAGGAUCAUUCUUGGAGCUUACAAUUGGAAAAGCAGAAAUACUUUUGGAUAAGAUAGCAGAAAAUCAAAGCUGGUUCCAAGAUAAAGCUCAACAAUGUCAUCAAACUGAAGAAAUACAAGAAGAAGUAAAUGCAUUAUCAACCAAGAUGGAAAAUUUGCUCUAUUGGAUUGACCAGAGGGCCAAGUUCAAAGAAGAUCAAAGGGCCAUGGAGACAACAUACAAAUAUCAACCAACUUCGAGUCAACCCAAAAGCAAAGGUAUCAAUUCAGGUAAUACUUUCAAGCAACUUCCAUUAAAAGAGAUAAUUGCUCAACAAACCAAAAUUAAUGAUGAAGUUAAACAAAGGCUAGAUACAAAUGAAUCAUCUCUAAAACAUAUACACAAUAAAAUGGAUUUUCUAUGAACUGCCUUUGACGAGCAAAACACUCUCAAUAAAAGGGUAGAGCUUAAAUUAAUAAAGUUAGCUGCUGCACUGCCUGUUGCUACUAACAUUGAGCAGGUAAAGAAUAUAACUACUAGAGGAGGUAAAGCUACCAGGGAUCCCCCAUACCCAAAAGAGAAACAAAGAAUAUCAGCACCAGUGCAACCAGUAGUAAUAGAAGAAGAAAGCCCAGUUGAAGCAGAAGAUCUGUUGCAACCACCAAGAACUGGAGAAAUGAGGAAAGAUUUUUACGACACCAACUAUUUGCCAUUUCCCAGAAGAAACAGAGGACUGCAGUCGGAUGAGCAGUUUGGUAAGUUUGUAGAUGUCAUUCAGAAAUUAUAUGUCAACAUACCGCUGCUCGAUGCCAUACAGGUACCUACAUAUGCAAAGUACAUCAGAGAUAUUCUUAACAAGAAGAGACCACUGCCCACCACUGAGGUUAUCAAGCUUACAGAAGAAUGUAGUGCGGCCAUCCUUAACAAACCACCAAAGAAGAAGGAAGAUCCAGGAUGCCCCACUAUUGAUUGCUCGAUCAGAAACCAACACUUCAACAAUGCACUUUGUGAUCUCAGAGCAAGUGUUAGUGUGAUGCCAGCAUCAGUCUACAAAAAGCUUGAGCAUGCGACCCUAGAACCAACAUCAAUGUGUCUACAACUAGCGGAUCAAUCGGUUCGACACCCGUUGGGCAUCGCCGAGAACAUUCCAGUCAAGAUCAGAGAUUUCCUGGUGCCAGUAGACAUCGUAGUACUAGACAUGAGUCCUGACUCAAAAGUGUCCAUCAUCCUUGGAAGGCCAUUUCUGAGCACUGCCAAUGCUCACAUUGAUGUCGGGAAAGGAGAAAUCAAGUUCAACAUAAACGGACAAGAAGAACACUUCACAUUCAAACCCAGACCAGAGAGAGAUUCUACAGUGAAGGAAGUUCAUGAAGAACCACUGGAGACACCAUCUCCGGAGGAAGGUAAUUCAGAAGAUUAAAAGAUUUGGAGGUCCAGCUUGUGGGACCUAAAAAUCCCAAACCCUCACCGGGAGGUAAAUCGGUAUUUAUCCGCAUUAUUAAUUUUCUCAUAUUUAAAUUCUUGCAUAAUUAAUUCUUGCAUCAUUCAUAGCAUUAUUAUAAUAAUCAAAAGCCCCAUAUAAAUAAUAGUCAUGGUGUGUAACAACCCAUAUUUAUUAAUUAUUGUGGAGGCACAAAAAUAUUUUCCAUUAUCUUUUUAAUUAAGUUUCAAUUCUCAUAGAUUUUUUCUGCAUUAUAUUUAAUUAUAGCAACCUUCUAGAAGCAUGACCCACAUUCCUUGGGUCCCACAUGUCAUACACCACACCUCACAUACAUCCCAUCACAUAAUUCCAUCCACCAAUAUGUUUCCACUCACCAGACAUCUUUCCACCGUCCAACCACCACCAACACAACAUUAUUCUGCGUGAGAUCAAAGCAAGGAAGCAAGUGGAGGAGGCACACCCAGGAUGGACACCAGGAGUGGGCGCCCACCCACCUACCAAGGGCGCCCGCCCUGCUCCCUCUUCUUCCUAUAAAUAGCCACCUUCUACCUCAAUCUUCUUCACACAAGCACUCCAGAAAACAACACAAGUAUCAGUUUCCAGAAGGAGCUCUUGUAGUGAAGUGAGAAGAGAGUAGAGAGAAAGAGAAGAGUGGGAAAGAAGUUGAUAGUUUUAGUGAGAGAGUGAGUAUUGUCACAGAACCGACCAAAUUAUAAGAGUUCAAGUGUAAAAACGAUCGACAAGCAAUCAAGUUUCCAAACUUGAGCCCAUAUAAUCCCGGUAGUCAACUGAAAUCACAAAGGAUUUCAAACCAACUCGCAACAAACCAAGAUCGUAAUAGUUCAACACAAAUACAACGAAUGUUACAUAGUUAUUCAUUGCCGUCGAAGCGGCACCACAUCGGAGUCAUUAAUUUAUUACAACCCAAGUUCGAAGUAGCGGAAGCAAAAUAAUUACACACACUUGUUCAAAGUUCAGUUCACAAGUUUUUGUUAUUGCUAGAGUCUACAUCAUCCUUCCAAAAGCAACAGGUACGAGUUUCUUAGAGAACCGUGCCCAACGGUUAAUCCUCAUCCCCAGCGGGAUGGAGACAGGUCUUGCAGAAGCCGUCAUAAAAGAUAUCAUCUGCAACAGGUGGGAAUAAACCCUGAGUACAAGAAUGUACUCAGCUAGACUUACCCGUCUAGGAAAACAUAAAAGACACCAAGGAUCAUGCAAAGCUAAUAUCAAGUGGAGCUGGUUGACUCAAUAUUUUGCCAAAAGCCUUUAUUACAACUAACCUAUUGUAAGAGCUUCAUAUUUAUUUAUCAUUAGCCUACUGCUAGAUUAGCACCUAUACUAAAGCACUUCACUUGAUUAUUACAAACAAUAAUAACCAUAUCAAGUUCAUCAUAUGUUCUUCUUUGCUAUCAUCAUUAUCAUGAACCAAGUUCAUUAGUGAAUGCUACGUUUGUCGCUGCUCUGUCAAGUUCUCACUAACCGGGAGAGACGGCGAUUCGAAUCGAAUUCCUAUCCAGCUGGAGGUGUAUUCCUAGCACGCACCCAAGCAUCCCCCGUCGGAGAGCCAACGGGUCACCUUUGGUACGACUCAGGAAUCGCGGCUCCGAUCAGCGCCGCACUCCUAGGGCUACCACUCUGCCAGGGAGGUCAGGAAUUUUAACUCGCCUGCCUUUGGGCUUACGCCACUGGUCCCCCGCACACCGCACUUCCUCCGGUAGUGCGCACUUUAUACUUGCCGGUCUUCCGGCCUGAGUCAUACUACUCAGCUUCGCGGUCGGAACGAGUUAUCCGGCCAACUAAGUGUUAGGCAUGCGUUCAACAUGACAAGAGGACGUACAACGGUCGGUCCUUAGCUGCCACAGACGGAGUUACUACAACCUUGCAAAACUCCGCCCGGCUUAAGUCAAUUUAAUCAGGUUCCAUCCACGAUAGCACAUAUAGACCAUCGUGAUUCGACACAACCCUAUAUCGCGCAGCUGACAGGAAAUCACCCGACUUCUACCGAUUAAGCAUGGCUAAGCUGCUACCCGAUCCUAACUCUACAACCAAGGUAUGGUAAAUUAUCUGGACAAGGAUGGAAUAAAGUGCAGCAAAGGUUUUCAUCACAACUCCUAUACUUAAUGCAUCAAUAGAUAUAACAUAUUAAAUAAACUUUCAAAAGUAAAGGAAGGCUUAGAAUGCUCCGGGGCUUGCCUUUCAGGAACGAAGCUGGCUCGUGAUUUGGGCACUCAACUUCUUCUUCGGGCUCCUCGAGUCCGACUGGCUGGACCUCCACCUCCUGGCUGCCCUCCUGGCCUUCGGGGUUCACUUGCAGAUCGAAGGAGGCUGCCACGUCCGAUGCACCUAUUGCAUGCUCGGUGAAUGAGAAGGUGUGCAUACAAAAGAAUGAAUGCUUGAUAACAUAAGUGACCCACUGGACACUCAUUUAUGGAGCAAUAGUUAUAACAAGUUCACACAAGUUAACAAGUUAACUUAGCCCAAAACCUAUCAUGAUAGCCUAUAACAGCAAGCAUCAAACAACAGGAUUAGCUCAGUAAACAGAUCAUAACUAUUGCCACAAAGAUCCAACAAACUUAAGUGAGGACAUUCUGGAAAGAUUAUGAAAUUGUCUACAUAUCAUCUUUGAACAUCACAGCAAGAUUCAUAAGUUAAAGAAGCCAUUUAAACAAAGUUCCAGGUUCUGUCCCAGAAAAACAGAGAGCACCUAUUUCUGGAACCCAACUUGGAACGGCCAUAACUUUUAAACUACUAGCCCAAAAGACCCCAAAUUUAACCCACAGCUAGUCCAUAAAGUUUACUAAAACUUUGAUUUAGACAAGCCUCCCCGAAAACUAAGUUAUCAACUAGUAAAAACUAUAUUACUCCCUUGCUGUCCAGAACAGCCUUUAACCCUUUAAUUAAUUAUUUGAUGACAUAACCAAAACAUAAACCAUGCCAACCACAUGGCUUAUGAGCACAAGCAUAUCACAAGGUUGCCAGAACAUCAGAUGAUAACCCUCAAACAUUUACUUAACAUGGCAUUUAUUAAUUAAUUCUAGAAAGGAGCAUAAUUACAAGAUACUAGUCAAAAAGCUCAGAAAAAUCUACAAAAAUUACAAAGGCACAAGUAUAGCAUCAAAGCAUCACCAUAAAAAUUUCAGAGCAAUUGCAUAUACCAAUUUAAAGAUAUGCAUUUAACAUGUGACAAGGCGUUUAUUUCAUAAUUUCAGAAACAUGACUUAUAUGGUGUCAAACAACAGAUUUCAGAUUAUUUACAUAUUAUGAAUGCCAUAAACAAGUGUACCACCUAAGUAGAACACCAGCAUAAGCACCAAUUAUUUUAUAUGAUUUAAUCAAGGAAACAAGACAAAUCUCAAACAUAAAUUACAUAUCAAAGCUGCAGUACUCCAAAAAUUAUGAACUAUUUAUCAAAGCACUCUAAUACCACACAGAGACUACCAUAAAAUUUCCAUGGCAAACUAAACAGUAUAACCAGAGAUAUGAAUUUAUCCAUAAAUAACAAGAUUAAAUCCUUAAUAAAUAUUUUCCCAGAAAACAUGGUUCAUUUUAUAUUUUUAUUAACAACUAGCCGUCUCAAGGAACACCACAAAAUUGGUUUCACCAUUUUUGGAUCACCAGAACUAGAGAUAUGAUUUUUGCAAGAAAGCCAAAAAUCUGGAUUUGAAUAAAAGAAAAGGAGGGAAGUGAGGUGACACUGACAGUGGACCCCGCCUGCCAGGGUCAUCUUCCUCACUGCCGAAGCGACUCUCGCCGGCGAUUUCUCCGCGACGGCGAGGUCUCCGGCCAAACCAAGGGCACCAUUGUGAUCCCCAGACUCUAGCGACUCGAUUGAUCCCCUUUUCUCCAUGGCGGAGCCACCGGAAAGGGCUCGCCGUCGAUCAUGGCGGCUCGGCGGAGGUGCUCGGCGUUACGCCGGAGUCCUCAGGCCGGUAGAGCGUGACCUAGGGUUUCCUACAGCACCAGCGGACUACGGCGAAGCUUCCUAGGUACGCGGCUUGGCUUGAAACAUCGUGGAACACGCUGGCCAUGAGAGCGCCCAUCUCCGGCGGAAACACGGCGGCGCUGCGCGUCGUGUCCGGCGACGGUGAGUUUGGUAGAGCGUCCACCAAGUGGCGCAAACACUUGCUAGGAACCCAAGCAACCUCUAGGACCUAACCAGAGAAGACGAGCAGCUUCACAGGGCUCGGCAUUGAGUUCGUCGGAAAAGAAGGUCACGGCGACCCGAUUUGGGGAAAGAAGGAAAUGGCGGCUCACCGGUGGAUUUCAUGGCGAGAUGAUGGGUGGAGAAUGGAGAGUGGUUCACGGCGAAGCUUUGGGUGAAGUUUGGUGGGCAAUGGCGCAGCAAGGAACGCGCACGAGCUCGCCGGAGUGAGCUCGCGACGGUGAGCUCACUGCGGCCGCGUUUCUGGCGAGAGAGUGAGUGGAAGGAGAGAGUUGACGCGUCCACUGCGUCCGAGGCGUCACCGUGGAGGUCAUGUGCGCGCUGGGAGCUGACGAGCGGGGCCAUCGCCGGCGUAUGGCGCCAUCUGGCAGACAGGUCGCGCUCUGGACGUUCCCGACGGCGAGCUCCUCUCUGAAUCAAGCGACGCGAUCAGUGUGUGACAGAGCGACUUCAGCGAUGAAUAACCUCCAAACCAGAGCGAGUUAGGAGAUGGUGUAGUUGACAAAGUUGGAGUUCCAACCGAGUUCUACAACAUUGUCAACUAGAGCAAAAGCCAGAUCGGCCUGGAUUGAGAGAUAUAGAGUUUUCAAAACCGAUCAAGCAAACUGUUUUUCGCUCCAGGACUUAGAAAAUUUCCUAAGUGAUGGAAACAGCCCCAAAUCUGCCUUGUGGGUCAAUUUUGAGCUAGAUGUGAUCAUUUUCAUGAGAUGGCCAUAAAACAACUUUUGUUCCUUAUAAAAUUUGCUACAAAUUUGCUGUAGGAAGUUUUGACAUGCAAGCAUUUUAUGAAACACUUUUUAAAAUCCUAAGCAAAAGAGGUUUCUAGAGCCUAUAUGCAUAAGUAUGACUUAAGUGAUUAUUUUGGAGAAGUGAUCAACAUGAACAUUGUUCCCAAGGUUAAGUAAGCAUAGAUAAACUAAUUACCAAGGCAUAGAGCACAAACACAAGCAUGGUUCACUCAAACAUAAGCAUAGGAAGCCUAUUUAAGCAAUUUAGAUCACAUUUUUGCAUAGAAUGACAUGGCUCAAGAUAGAUGAUGAUCAUGAUAUGCUUUGAGUAGAUGAUGAUGCUCAUGCUUUGCACAUGAUUAAUGCAACCAUAACAUUGGGGUGUUACAGCCCUCCCCCCUUACAAAAAUCUCGUCCCGAGAUUUGAAAGCUUACUGAUUUUCGAAGAAGGUUUUGUAAACUUCUUUUAAAUAAUCCUCCGUCUCCCAAGUGGCAUCUUCUUCCCCGUGGUUACUCCACAACACUUUGUAGAACUUAACCACACGAUUAUGAGUCACCCAUUCCUUGUGGUCAAGAACUGCUAUAGGUGUUUCUUCAUACCCCAAGUCUGACUUCAACUUGAUAUCUCGAACUUCCACUCGUUCCUCCGGUACACGAAGGCACUUCUUUAAUUGUGAUACGUGGAAGACAGGGAAAAUAGCUCGAAGCGCAACUGGGAGUUGAACUUUGUACGCCACAUUCCCUUUCUUUUCGAGAAUCUGAUAAGGUCCCACAUAACGAGGUGCAAGCUUUCGCUUGACUCCGAACCUUUGUACACCCUUCAUCGGAGACACCUUGAUAUACACAUGGUCACCAACUGAAAACUCAAUCGGCUUCCUUGUUUUGUCGGCAUAACUUUUCUGACGAGCUUGAGCAGCUUCCAGAUGUUGUUGGAUGGUACGGACUUGCUGCUCUGCUUCGUUCACGAAAUCGAUACCAUAAUACCUUCGCUCUCCGGCUUCUACCCAAUUCAACGGUGUUCGACACUUUCGACCGUACAGGGCUUCAAAUGGAGCCAUCUUGAUACUCUCCUGAUAACUAUUGUUGUAGGAGAACUCAGCUAAUGGCAACCACUUAACCCAAGAACCUUUUGAAGAGAGAGCACAUGCCCUCAACAUGUCUUCUAGGAUUUGGUUAACCCGUUCAGUUUGACCAGCCGUUUGGGGAUGAUAAGCAGAGCUACGGACUAAAUGAGUACCAAUCUGCUCAUGCAGACAUUCCCAAAAACGAGCAGUGAACUGUGGUCCACGAUCUGAUACAAUAGUUCCAGGCACACCAUACUGACGAACAAUGUGCCCGAAAUACAAUUCUGCAUAUUGAUGUGGACGAUAGUCAGUUCGAACUGGAAUAAAUCGAGCAACCUUGGUCAAACGAUCUACAAUCACCCAGAUGGAGUCGUAACCCUUAACAGAAGUUGGGAGUCCAAUGAUGAAAUCCAUGCUGACUUCUUCCCAUUUCCAACCAGGAAUUGACAAGGGUUGAAGUAAACCAGCUUUCAUGUGAACAGCCUUCACACGACAACAAUUGUCACAACGAGCGACAAAAGCAGUGAUCUCCUUUUUCAUCUUUGUCCACCAAAACAAGGGUUUUAGAUCCUGAUACAUCUUGCUGCUACCAGGAUGGAUAGACAAUUUGGAUGAAUGAGCUUCAGACAAGAUCUGAUUUCGCAGCUCACGGUCUUUUGGGACCACUAGUCGAUCUUUGAACCAAAGAAUUCCGUUCUCAUCGACCCAAAAAUGCUUGGUUUCUUCUCCCUUCAUUUUCCUCUUUAUAUGGUGGAUGCCUACAUCUGUUUGCUGCAAUUCGAUGACUCGAUUGUGAAGAGUACUCUCCAGAGAAAUCUGGUUGAGCACAAGUGGAUGCAUAAGAUGUGACAACAACAGAUCUUCCACUUGGAUUGAGUGACGGUGCGCUUUCCGACUCAAGGCAUCCGCCACCACGUUCGCCUUGCCAGGAUGAUAGUGCACUUGUAGAUUAUAAUCUUUAAUCAACUCAAGCCACCUUCGCUGCCGCAUGUUCAGUUCAGGUUGAGUGAAGAUAUACUUGAGGCUCUUAUGAUCGGUGUAGAUAUUACACAGAUUACCCAGCAAAUAAUGCCUCCAGAUUUUCAAAGUAUGAACAACUGCUGCCAAUUCUAAGUCAUGAGUAGGGUAAUUGACCUCAUGCUUUCGAAGUUGGCACGAGGCAUACUCGAUAACGCGACCUUCCUGCAUCAAUACGCAGCCUAGACCGAUGCCUGACGCGUCACAAAAGAUAUCGAAGGGCUUUUCGAUAUCAGGUUGAGUUAGGAUAGGAGCUGAUGUCAGCAAUGUCCUCAACUUGUGGAAUGCCUCUUCACACUCAGGCGUCCACGCAAACUUCUCAUCUUUCUGAAGUAGACGAGUCAUAGGCUUGGAUAUUUUUGAAAAUUCCGGAAUGAAUCGACGAUAAUAUCCAGCCAGACCAAGAAAACUCCGAACCUCGUGCACCGAAGUUGGAACUUUCCAAUCCAGCACUUCUUGCACCUUGGCUGGGUCCACCGAUAUGCCUUCUUCAGAUAAGACAUGGCCCAAGAAAGGUACUUUCUUCAGCCAAAACUCGCAUUUGCUAAACUUGGCAUAAAGCUGAUGUUCGCGCAAACGUGACAACACUAUACGCAGAUGCUCUGCAUGCUCCUCUUUAUUGCAGGAGUAUACCAAGAUAUCAUCAAUCAAGACCACCACAAACUUGUCCAAUUCGGGCAUGAACACCGAAUUCAUGAGAUACAUGAAGUGAGCAGGUGCAUUUGUAAGACCGAAGGACAUGACGAGAUACUCAUACAACCCGUACCUUGUCGAGAAAGCUGUAUUAGGUACAUCUUCAGGACGGAUCUUGAUCUGAUGGUACCCAGAUCGCAAAUCGAUCUUGGAGAAUACCUUGGCUUUAGACAUCUGAUCAAACAAGAUAUCUAUGCGAGGAAGAGGGUAUUUAUUCUUGAUGGUCACCGCAUUUAGGGGACAAUAGUCCACACACAUGCGCAACGAUUGAUCCUUCUUCUUCACAAAGAUAGCCGGACAACCCCAUGGAGAAGAACUAGGACGGAUAAGACCCUUCUUCAACAACUCAUUUAGUUGGGUCUUAAGCUCAGCUAAUUCAUUGGGUGGCAUUCUAUAAGGUCUUCUAGAGAUAGGAGCGGUACCUGGAAUCAACUCAAUUUUGAACUCCACAUCCCGAUCCGGAGGAAGCCCGGGCAAAUCAUCAGGAAAUACAUCCGGGAACUCACACACCACCGGAAUGUCCUGAAUAGCCUUAGAUGUAACUGCAUUCACAGUGCUACGGUUUUGAAUAUCACGAGGGAGUUGCACUAGAAAUGCCUCCUUGGUAUUUGGGUCUUUCAACAUCACUACACGAGUGGUGGUGUCGAUAAGAACUCCAUUGCCACUCAUCCACUUCAUCCCCAGAAUUACAUCUAUGCCCACACCGGGUAGAACAACCAAAUCAGCAAGAAACUGACGGCCUCCUAUUUCCAGAGUUGCCCCCAAAACCACUUGAUUGGUGGAAAUAUCAUUUCCCGCAGCACUAAUACAAUAACUGCCCUUAUCAAGUGUAAAUGCCUUGAUAUUAUGCUUAGACACAAAUUCAGAACUCACAAAAGAAUGCGAUGCUCCUGAAUCGAAAAGCACAAGUGCGUCACAUUGGUUAACUAGAAACUUACCAGCUGUAACUACCUCACCAGUAGGGAUUGCUUCCACAGUGGUGUAGUGAACACACCCCUGACGGACGUUCCCUUGGUUGCCCUUCUUUGGCGGGUAAGGACAGUUGCUCUGCCAAUGCCCGGUCUGAUUGCAGUUCCAGCACGGACGGUUGGUAGGUGGAGUCUUGGCAUAGUUGGGACCCGUGUUGCUCCUAGGAAGAGCAAUAGAGUACCCUUUGCGGAAACCCGUCUUUGCCUGAUUCUUCUUCACCGGAGGGCGGUACCGCUGGUUAGGCAUUGGAGCACGGAACGGUGGCUUAGCUGCCACUGGAGCCUUGGACUGAGAUGACCCUGCCCCGGCCUCAAAAGCCCUCUUGCGAGACUUGGUCGCAGUGUACACAGUGUUAUAGUUCUCUUGAGUGAGAGCAUCACUGACAAACUCAUUGAAAGUUGCACACUUAGUGCGGCCCAUAGUCUUGAGCAACUUGGGACCCAAACCUCGCUUGAAACUAGCAAUCUUUUUUGCCUCAGUGUUCACAAACUCAGGAGCAUACCUAGACAAAUGAUUGAAAGUAUGCAAAUACUUGUUGGGUAUUCUUAACAUCAUUACCAAAAGUAGACUAAGUUCUCUAAAUCUAGUAACGGUGCCAAAAAUGCCAAACCUAUCCCUCACACCACUUAAGCCAAGUUGUCAUCCCCAGCAUGAUAUAAGAGACGCGGUAUUGAAAUAUGCAAUUGCUCUUCUAAAUAAAUAAUGAAUGGGAUCUGCAAGCGCACAGAUUAAUACCGAUGUAGCAUUUUAACCGGGAAGUAUUCCAGGUAUCGUUAUUUAUAUUUUUACCACUGGGAAGGGAUUAACAAUCAUCAAUAUUGAUUACAGAAUAGAAUAUGAGAUUGAGCAUCUAUCAUUGCAUGUAUAAUUGAGAACAUUAUAUCUAACUCUUCAUACAGGGAUAAGUGCCACAUAAAGGAUAUAUGAAAUAAUAAUAGUGACAAGGAUAACUAAUCUGAUCUAGCCACAUAAUAAAUAUGAUAAGCACCUCAAUUAGAUACUCUAGAAAGUCAUUAGCAUGGUAUUAGAACGAACUACAAGAAUAUUCCCUAAGUUAUUCUCAACUAUAUAGUCUAGCAUAUCAUAGUUAGUGCAAGCAUACUUAGCAACCAUUGCGAGACAAGACUACGCCCAUGCAUAGUGAUAUUAGCUAGGAAUAUGAGAAACAUAGCAAUCACUCCCCUGUAAUAAUGUUGCUCUGCCAGCCCAAUACACGAGAGGGGGACUAUAUAAGAAUCAAUGAAGCUGUCACUAUCACGAACCACCCCACGAUCUGGCAUAUUGGGUACAAUCGCAGAUAAAUACGGUAUAAGCACCACGCCUACACAAUAUCUAUCAUUUACCCAUGGAUCCGAUGGAUAAACGCUAUACGAUCCUAAGCAUGGAUAUAGAUCCAAUCUAACUAAGCCAAAUACAUAACUAUGAUAAACUAAGAACAAUAUAAUAUUGAAUAUAAGCAAGUAGAGCAAAGUCAUAAGCAAUAUAUUGAAGUAGAACAAAGUCAUAUUCAUAAUAUUGAAGAACAAAGAUAAUUAGAAAGCAAUUAGAAGCACAAUUAGAGAAUUACCAAGAAUCCUCUUGACAGAUCUGGAAACCAAUCGAUGAUUGACUCCUUCUAGUUCUAUUCCUAUGUAGCUAUGCUAAUCUAGAUAUCUAAUUGAUGUGGUGGCUCUAAUCUUGAUCAGAGGCUUCUUCUCCCUUGAUGGAACAAUGAAUUAGGGUUGAGAGGCUCUCUCCUCCAGGGGCCAGGGGGUCUGGUUUUAUAGUCCCUUCAAGUAAAUAUGGGGCGUUGGAUCAAACCAACAUAGAUUGUAUGGUUUAGAUUCAUCCUUUAGGUCGGUGGAAAUCUCCCGCAAAGCAGAGUCCUGAUUGGAAUUAGGAGGUGGGCGGGCGCCCUGAUCAACUGGGCGGGCGCCCAGGGUCAGGCCCCGUUUCGCCUCCGCUUCGGUCUCGUGGCUUCUGUAGUCUUCUAGAUGUAAGAUAAUUGCGCGGCACGUUAGUAUCUCUAUGUAAUCCCGACGUGUGGGCCUUUGUUCCGUAUUUCCUGAUAACCCCAUGCAGAAAUAGACAAACACCAAAACUCGUGGAAUUCUGUCAGAUAAAACCCUAAGUCUAGAUGUUGAUUUCAUUUGGAUCGUUUUCUUUGUUUAUUUAAUAAUUAAAUUUGAUACUUAAGGACCGUCAACAAUACUCCUUCAUAGUUUUGUUGUCCUGAGUCAACUGCAUAAACUCAGUAUGCUUCAUCUCCAAGACACCAGGAGGAAUGAAAUGCCCCUUAAAAGCUUCACGGAAAAGAUUCUAGUCAAGCACAGUGUCGGCUGGAAGAGCUUCCCGAUACUGAUUCCACCUGAUGCCUGCUGGACCUUGCUGUUGAUAGUGCUGCAUACUCUGCCUUCAAACCUUCAGUCAACCGAAGCAAUCGGAACUUUUGUUCCACCGUGUUCAACCAUUCCUCAGCUUGAAGGGGUUCUUCAGCUUCUCUGAAAGAUGGGGGCUUAGUAUCCAUGAAGUCCUUGAAACUGCUAUACUGAUUAGGAGCUGGCCCUUCGUGUGCCUGACGACCACCCUGAUUCGCCAUCCGAUUGAUGGUCUCAGUGAGCAUCCUCUGAUUUUCCACCAUCAUUUGCAUUAACUCACCAGGAUUUGGUGGUGGAGGAGGAGGGGGUGGAUUCAAGUUUGCACGCUGUUCCGCACCUCGGGUGCCACGAGACAUCUGUAAAGACACAGUCAGUGAGCAUUGAUGAUGACAAGAUUUGCUGUAGAAGAACUUAUAUUUAUGCCUGAAAGUAUUCGAGAGAAUAGCUUUACAGAAAGGCACAAUAAUUCAAUUCCACAAAACAACAUCACCAAUCCAACACAUGACAGAGAUAUCCGCAAUAUGCACCACAACAGAAAACAUCGUCAUAACAUAACGAACAUGUUAAGGUUACACAUUGGGUCCAUAAAGUUAUUACACCAUCACAGUACAUGCCAUGAGUCAAGGUCAAAGUUCCAGAUUACAACAUGGGUACAAAAGCACCACGGCUGACUGGCAUACUACAAAAGAUCCUCAUAAACAACUACCCACAACCCACUACACUCCAGGCUCGUUGCCCGAGUCAGUGUCGAAGAUUGCCUCUCCAUCCUCGUCGCUAACUGGCUCAAGCUCCUCGUCCUCCACGUCCUCGUGCAAAGGUGGUGCAACCGCUGCUAGUCCAUCGACCUCCAUACCAUCAUCAUCGGCCACAAUCACCUGAGGUCCCACCUCUGGAUACAUGGGUAUAGGGCGAGGAAUAGGGUGGAGCAAGUUGUUGAGACGGUGAAUCUCCACAAGACCAGCCUCAAUCUGAUCCUGCAGAUAGUUCUCCCGCUCAAGAGACUGAACCCGGUGCAUCUCCCAUGCCCGGCGCCUGUUCUCCGACACGCGGAGUGCAAUGUCUCUCUCAUGAGUGAUCUGCACCAAGCGCUCCAGUAUGGUCUCCCUCUCUCUAGCUAACUGACUCAUCUGAUCCUGCUUAUGAUCUCUCUCUCUCUAAUGGCCUUCACCCACUGCUACCUACGGUACUCCGCAAUGUCUUCCCAGUCAUUGCGGUCCUUCUGAGCUUGCUCCAGGAGUCUAGCUUGCUUGCGAAACUGGCGAGCACGCUUUUCAGCCUUCCGUUGCAUCUCCUGAGCCUGGCAAACAGCCACCAUCACCUGUGCAUAGGUGUCCUCUCGCUGACUGAUCAGCUUGAGCACAGCCAUCAUAGCGCUCAUAGCAGGACUAGAACUCUCAGCUCUCUCUCCCCUGCCUCGAACCAAGGCACAACCAUCAGCCUGUUUCCACUCCGCUGCUGCUGGGUCAGCACGGGGAAUGGAGGCCGCUGGUCCUCCCGUCAGCUCAUCACCACACCUCUGACAGAUAUCGAGCAGGAUAGUCUGGGCUGCAACCUGAGCUGCCUCCCAAGGAGUCUGCCCAUCUGAGCUACAAGUCCAGCCUGUCCAUGCAGGCUUGUCCCCAUGUGGAGGGACAACUCCCUGCACAGCAAACCACUGUAUCCCUCCUGUGCUCUCCAACUCCCACCAAGAAUACUGAGGUGGCUCAGUAUACCCGACAGUCUGUAACACUCUCCAGAGCAGGGUAGGAGUGCCAAACUAGCUCAAGAAAGUGUCACUGGGACGGGGUGAAGCGGGUGCGUCCAUUUGUGGAAAGGAAUAGGAAUACCAUGGGUAAAAGAGGAUUAGUUUAAGCAACUUUUAUUUAAUUAAAAGGGACGAAAUUGUAAGGGAAGGAGUAGACAGAAUGUAUGUAUGAAUGCGACAUGGUGCAUGCACGAACCGUACGUCCUCACAAACUUCGAAAAUUAACAUUCUAACGGAUAUACGGUGGCAUACAUUCGUCUCUCGAUACGAUAACUAUCGAUUUACACAUGCGUUGUUAGAGUACUUGCAGAAAACUUCAUUUCAGCCCAACAGUUCCCAAUAUAUCACUCAAGAAAGCAGUAAACUAGGUGCACAUUGCUUGGACAUGCCCAACAUGCACAAACAAUGACACCACAGCUACCUGAGAAAUUAAAUGCUCCCCAAUUAAGUUUCUUUCGUGGUUCCAUAGUUUUGACAUGUAACCACUCCAGAAAACCACCGCGAACACUCCCCUAGACCGCCGUUUGGACGAUCAUGCUCUCACAGCUCACACUUACCAGGGCGUAGGUGCGACGUUGCAUAAUUUAAAUCUAGCGACAUAUGUGGCUAAUUCACAUAUGAAGGCUACCUCCACCAUUAGACCACAGGGUAGCAUAGUGCGGUCAUCACACAUCCAUACCUGAGUAUUGCCGGAGAUACAUAAAUAAAACCCCCCAAGUCAGUACUUAAAUAGCCACCUAUAGUCCUUAUGAUGACAAGGAGGAUUCGACCACUGGCAUAACUUAAAUAUUGAUUUGCACCAUUUUAUUUAAAAACUCUUUUGUUUUUAAAUACAUAAACGCUGCAUUUAUAAUGCUGAACUUGCUCCGAUGCCAGCUGUCACAGAACCGACCAAAUUAUAAGAGUUCAAGUGUAGAAACGAUCGACAAGCAAUCAAGUUUCCAAACUUGAGCCCAUAUAAUCCCGGUAGUCAACUGAAAUCACGAAGGAUUUCAAACCAACUCGCAACAAAUCAAGAUCGUAAUAGUUCAACAUAAAUACAACGAAUGUUACGUAGUUAUUCAUUGCCGUCGAAGCGGCACCACAUCGGAGUCAUUAAGUUAUUACAACCCAAGUUCGAAGUAGCGGAAGCAAAAUAAUUACACUCACUUGUUCAAAGUUCAGUUCACAAGUUUUUGUUAUUGCUAGAGUCUACAUCAUCCUUCCAAAAGCAACAGGUACGAGUUUGUUAGAGAACCGUGCCCAACGGUUAAUCCUCAUCCCCAGCGGGAUGGAGACAGGUCUUGCAGAAGCCGUCAUAAAAGAUCAUCUGCAACAGGUGGGAAUAAACCCUGAGUACGAGAAUGUACUCAGCUAGACUUACCCGUCUAGGAAAACAUAAAAGACACCAAGGAUCAUGCAAGGCUAAUAUCAAGUGGAGCUGGAUGACUCAAUAUUUUGCCAAAAGCCUUUAUUACAACUAACCUAUUGUAAGAGCUUCAUAUUUAUUUAUCAUUAGCCUACUGCUAGAUUAGCACCUGUACUAAAGCACUUCACUUGAUUAUUACAAACAAUAAUAACCAUAUCAAGUUCAUCAUUUGUUCUUCUUUGCUAUCAUCAUUAUCAUGAACCAAGUUCAUUAGUGAAUGCUACGUUUGCCGCUGCUCUGUCAAGUUCUCACUAACCUGGAGAGACGGCGAUUCGAAUCGAAUUCCUAUCCAGCUGGAGGUGUAUUCCUAGCACUCACCCAAGCAUCCCCCGUCGGAGAGCCAACGGGUCACCUUUGGUAUGACUCAGGAAUCGCGGCUCUGAUCAGCGCCGCACUACCAGGGCUACCACUCUGCCAGGGAUGUCAGGAAUUUUAACUCACCUGCCUUUGGGCUUACGCCAAUGGUCCCCCGCACACCGCACUUCCUCCGGUAGUACGCACUUUAUACUUGCCGGUCUUCCGGCCUGAGUCAUACUACUCGGCUCCGCGGUCGGAACGAGUUAUCCGGCCAACUAAGUGUUAGGCAUGCGUUCAACAUGACAAGAGGACGUACAACGGUCGGUCCUUAGCUGCCACAGACGGAGUUACUACAACCUUGCAAAACUCUGCCCGGCUUAAGUCAAUUUAAUCAGGUUCCAUCCACGAUAGCACAUAUAGACCAUCGUGAUUCGACACAACCCUAUAUCGCGCAGGUGACAGGAAAUCACCCGACUUCUACCGAUUAAGCAUGGCUAAGCUGCUACCCGAUCCUAACACUACAACCAAGGUAGGGUAAAUUAUCUGGAAAAGGAUGGAAUAAAGUACAGCAAAGGUUUUCAUCACAACUCCUAUACUUAAUGCAUCAAUAGAUAUAACAUAUUAAAUAAACUUUCAAAAGUAAAGGAAGGCUUAGAAUGCUCCGGGGCUUGCCUUUCAUGAACGAAGCUGACUCGUGAUUUGGGCACUCAACUUCUUCUUCGGGCUCCUCGAGUCCAACUGGCUGGACCUCCACCUCCUUGCCCUCCUGGCCUUCGGGGUUCACUUGCAGAUCGAAGGAGGCUGCCACGUCCCAUGCACCUAUUGCAUGCUCGGUGAAUGAGAAGGUGUGCAUACAAAAGAAUGAAUGCUUGAUAACAAAAGUGACCCACUGGACACUCAUUUACGGAGCAAUAGUUAUAACAAGAUCACACAAGUUAACAAGUUAACUUAGCCCAAAACCUAUCAUGAUAGCCUAUAACAGCAAGCAUCAAACAGCAGGAUUAGCUCAGUAAACAGAUCAUAACUAUUGCCACAAAGAUCCAACAAACUUAAGUGAGGACAUUCUAGAAAGCUUAUGAAAUUUUCUACAAAUCAUCUUUGAACAUCACAGCAAGAUUCAUAAGUUAAAGAAGCCAUUUAAACAAAGUUCCAGGUUCUGUCCCAGAAAAACAGAGAGCACCUAUUUCUGGAACCCAACUUGGAGCAGCCAUAACUUUUAAAAUACUAGACCAAAAGACCCCAAAUUUAACCCACAGCUAGUCCAUAAAGUUUACUAAAACUUUGAUUUAGACAAGACUCCCAGAAAACUAAGUUAUCAACUAGUAAAAACUAUAUUACUCCCUUGCUGUCCAGAAUAGCCUUUAACCCUUUAAUUAAUUAUUUGAUGACAUAACCAAAACAUAAACCAUGCCAACCACAUGGCUUAUGAGCACAAGCAUAUCACAAGGUUACCAGAACAUCAGAUGAUAACCCUCAAACCUUUACUUAACAAGGCAUUUAUUAAUUAAUUCUAGAAAGGAGCAUAAUUACAAGAUACUAGUCAAAGUGCUCAGAAAAAUCUACAAAAAUUACAGAGGCACAAGUAUAGCAUCAAAGCAUCACCAUAAAAAUUUCAGAGCAAUUGCACAUACCAAUUUAAAGAUAUGCAUUUAACAUGUGACAAGGCGUUUAUUUCAUAAUUUCAGAAACAUGACUUAUAUGGUGUCAAACAACAGAUUUCAGAUUAUUUACAUAUUAUGAAUGACAUAAACAAGUUUACCACCUAAGUAGAACACCAGCAUAUGCACCAAUUAUUUUAUAUGAUUUAAUCAAGGAAACAAGCCAAAUCUCAAACAUAAAUUACAUAUCAAAGCUGCAUUACUCCAAAAAUUAUGAAUUAUUUAUCAAAGCACUCUAAUACCACACAGAGACUACCAUAAAAUUUUCAUGGCAAACUAAACAGUAUAACCAGAGAUAUGAAUUUAUCCAUGAAUAACAAGAUUAAAUCCUUAAUAAAUAUUUUCCCAGAAAACAUAGUUCAUUUUAUAUUUUUAUUAAAAACUAGUCAUCUCAAGGAACACCACAAAAUUGGUUUCACCAUUUUUGGAUCACCAGAACUAGAGAUAUGAUUUUUGCAAGAAACCCAAAAAUCUGGAUUUGAAUAAAAAAAGGAGGGAAGUGAGGUGACACUGACAGUGGACCCCGCCUGUCAGGGUCAUCUUCCUCACUGCCGAGGCGACUCUCGCCGGCGAUAUCUCCGCGACGGCGAGGUCUCCGGCCAAACCAAGGGCACCAUUAUUGUCACAGAACCGACCAAAUUAUAAGAGUUCAAGUGCAGAAACGAUCGCCAAGCUGGAUGACUCAAUAUUUUGCCAAAAGCCUUUAUUACAACUAACCUAUUGUAAGAGCUUCAUAUUUAUUUAUCAUUAGCCUACUGCUAGAUUAGCACCUGUACUAAAGCACUUCACUUGAUUAUUACAAACAAUAAUAACCAUAUCAAUUUCAUCAUAUGUUCUUCUUUGCUAUCAUCAUUAUCAUGAACCAAGUUCAUUAGUGAAUGCUACGUUUGCCGCUGCUCUGUCAAGUUCUCACUAACCGGGAGAGACGGCGAUUCGAAUCGAAUUCCUAUCCAGCUGGAGGUGUAUUCCUAGCACUCACCCAAGCAUCCCCCGUCGGAGAGCCAACGGGUCACCUUUGGUAUGACUCAGGAAUCGCGGCUCUGAUCAGCGCCGCACUACCAGGGCUACCACUCUGCCAGGGAUGUCAUGAAUUUUAACUCACCUGCCUUUGGGCUUACGCCAAUGGUCCCCCGCACACCGCACUUCCUCCGGUAUUACGCACUUUAUACUUGCCGGUCUUCCGCCUGAGUCAUACUACUCGGCUCCGCGGUCGGAACGAGUUAUCCGGCCAACUAAGUGUUAGGCAUGCGUUCAACAUGACAAGAGGACGUACAACGGUCGGUCCUUAGCUGCCACAGACGGAGUUACUACAACCUUGCAAAACUCUGCCCGGCUUAAGUCAAUUUAAUCAGGUUCCAUCCACGAUAGCACAUAUAGACCAUCGUGAUUCGACACAACCCUAUAUCGCGCAGGUGACAGGAAAUCACCCGACUUCUACCGAUUAAGCAUGGCUAAGCUGCUACCCGAUCCUAACUCUACAACCAAGGUAGGGUAAAUUAUCUGGAACAGGAUGGAAUAAAGUGCAGCAAAGGUUUUCAUCACAACUCCUAUACUUAAUGCAUCAAUAGAUAUAACAUAUUAAAUAAACUUUCAAAAGUAAAGGAAGGCUUAGAAUGCUCCGGGGCUUGCCUUUCAUGAACGAAGCUGACUCGUGAUUUGGGCACUCAACUUCUUCUUCGGGCUCCUCGAGUCCGACUGGCUGGACCUCCACCUCCUGGCUGCCCUCCUGGCCUUCGGGGUUCACUUGCAGAUCGAAGGAGGCUGCCACGUCCGAUGCACCUAUUGCAUGCUCGGUGAAUGAGAAGGUGUGCAUACAAAAGAAUGAAUGCUUGAUAACAAAAGUGACCCACUGGACACUCAUUUACGGAGCAAUAGUUAUAACAAGAUCACACAAGUUAACAAGUUAACUUAGCCCAAAACCUAUCAUGAUAGCCUAUAACAGCAAGCAUCAAAUAGCAGGAUUAGCUCAGUAAACAGAUCAUAACUAUUGCCACAAAGAUCCAACAAACUUAAGUGAGGACAUUCUAGAAAGCUUAUGAAAUUUUCUACAAAUCAUCUUUGAACAUCACAGCAAGAUUCAUAAGUUAAAGAAGCCAUUUAAACAAAGUUCCAGGUUCUGUCCCAGAAAAACAGAGAGCACCUAUUUCUGGAACCCAACUUGGAGCAGCCAUAACUUUUAAAAUACUAGACCAAAAGACCCCAAAUUUAACCCACAGCUAGUCCAUAAAGUUUACUAAAACUUUGAUUUAGACAAGACUCCCAGAAAACUAAGUUAUCAACUAGUAAAAACUAUAUUACUCCCUUGCUGUCCAGAAUAGCCUUUAACCCUUUAAUUAAUUAUUUGAUGACAUAACCAAAACAUAAACCAUGCCAACCACAUGGCUUAUGAGCACAAGCAUAUCACAAGGUUACCAGAACAUCAGAUGAUAACCCUCAAACCUUUACUUAACAAGGCAUUUAUUAAUUAAUUCUAGAAAGGAGCAUAAUUACAAGAUACUAGUCAAAGUGCUCAGAAAAAUCUACAAAAAUUUCAGAGGCACAAGUGUAGCAUCAAAGCAUCACCAUAAAAAUUUCAGAGCAAUUGCACAUACCAAUUUAAAGAUAUGCAUUUAACAUGUGACAAGGCGUUUAUUUCAUAAUUUCAGAAACAUGACUUAUAUGGUGUCAAACAACAGAUUUCAGAUUAUUUACAUAUUAUGAAUGACAUAAACAAGUUUACCACCUAAGUAGAACACCAGCAUAUGCACCAAUUAUUUUAUAUGAUUUAAUCAAGGAAACAAGUCAAAUCUCAAACAUAAAUUACAUAUCAAAGCUGCAUUACUCCAAAAAUUAUGAAUUAUUUAUCAAAGCACUCUAAUACCACACAGAGACUACCAUAAAAUUUUCAUGGCAAACUAAACAGUAUAACCAGAGAUAUGAAUUUAUCCAUGAAUAACAAGAUUAAAUCCUUAAUAAAUAUUUUCCCAGAAAACAUAGUUCAUUUUAUAUUUUUAUUAAAAACUAGCCAUCUCAAGGAACACCACAAAAUUGGUUUCACCAUUUUUGGAUCACCAGAACUAGAGAUAUGAUUUUUCCAAGAAAUCCAAAAAUCUAGAUUUGAAUAAAAAAAAGGAGGGAAGUGAGGUGACACUGACAGUGGACCCCGCCUAUCAGGGUCAUCUUCCUCACUGCCGAGGCGACUCUCGCCGGCGAUAUCUCCGCGACGGCGAGGUCUCCGGCCAAACCAAGGGCACCAUUAUUGUCACAGAACCGACCAAAUUAUAAGAGUUCAAGUGCAGAAACGAUCGCCAAGCAAUCAAGUUUCCAAACUUGAGCCCAUAUAAUCCCGGUAGUCAAUUGAAAUCACGAAGGACUUCAAACCAACUCGCAACAAACCAAGAUCGUAAUAGUUCAGCAUAAACACAAUGAAUGUUACAUAGUCAAACAUUGCCGUCGAAGCUGUUGACGGUCCUUAAGUAUCAAAUUUAAUUAUCAAAUAAAUAAAGAAAAGGAUCCAAAUGAAAUCAAGAUCUAGACUUAGGGUUUUAUCUGACAGAAUUCCACGAGUUUUGGUGUUUGUCUAUUUCUGCAGGGGGUUAUCAGGAAAUAUGGAAGAAAGGCCCACAUGUCAGGAUUACGUAAAGGUAUUAACGUGAUGCGCAAUUAUCUUACAUCUAGAAGACUCCAGAAGCCACGAGACCGAAGCGGAGGCGAAACGGGGCCAGAGGCAGGGCGUCCGCCCUGUCCUACUGGGCGCCUGCCCCCUGUUGGAGUCCAAACAGGACUCUGCUUUGCGGGAGAUCUCCACCAACCUAAAGGAUGAAUCUAAACCAUACAAUCUAUGUCGGUUUGAUCCAAGGGCCCAUAUUCACUUGAAGGGACUAUAAAACUAGACCCCCUGGCCCCUGGAGGAGAGAGCCUCUCAACCCUAAUUCAUUGUUCUUCAAGGGAGAAGAAGCCUCUGAUCAAGAUUAGAGCCACCACAUCAAUUAGACAUCUAGAUUAGCAUAGCUACAUAGGAUUAGAACUAGAAGAAGUCAAUCUUUGAUUGGUUUCCGGAUCUGUCAGGAGGAUUCUUGGUAAUUCUCUAAUUGUGCUUCUAAUUGCUUUCUAAUUAUCUUUGUUCUUCAAUAUUAUGAAUAUGACUUUGUUCUACUUCAAUAUAUUGCUUAUGACUUUGCUCUACUUGCUUAUAUUCAAGAUUAUAUUGUUCUUAGUAUAUCAUAGUUAUGUACUUGGCUUAGUUAGAUUUGAUCUAUAUACAUGCUUAGGAUCGUAUAGCGUUUAUCCAUCGGAUCCAUGGGUAAAUGAUAGAUAUUGUGUAGGCGUGGUGCUUAUACCGUAUUUAUCUGCGAUUGUACCCAAUAUGCCAGAUCGUGGGGUGGUUCGUGAUAGUGACAGCUUUAUUGAUUCUUAUAUAGUCCCCCUCUCGUGUAUUGGGCUGGCAGAGCAACAUUAUUACAGGGGAGUGAUUGCUAUGUUUCUCAUAUUCCUUGCUAAUAUCACUAUGCAUGGGCGUAGUCUUGUCUCACAAUGAUUGCUAAGUAUGCUUGCACUAACUAUGAUAAUGCUAGACUAUAUAGUUGAGAAUAACUUAGGCAAUAUUCUUGUAGUUCGUUCUAAUACCAUGCUAAUGACUUUCUAGAGUAUCUAAUUGAGGUGCUUAUCAUAUUUAUUAUGUGGCUAGAUCAGAUUAGUUAUCCUUGUCACUAUUAUUACCUCAUAUAUCUUUUAUGUGACACUUAUCCCUGUAUGAAGAGUUAGAUAUAAUGUUCUCAAUUAUACAUGCAAUGAUAGAUGCUCAAUCUCAUAUUCUAUUCUGUAAUCAAUAUUGAUGAUUGUUAAUCCCUUCCCAGUGGUAAAAAUAUAAAUAACGAUACCUGGAAUACUUCCCGGUUAAAAUGCUGCAUCGAUAUUAAUCUGUGCGCUUGCAGAUCCCAUUCAUUAUUUAUUUAGAAGAGCAAUUGCAUAUUUCAAUACCACGUCUCUCAUAUCAUGCUGGGGAUGACAACUUGGCUUAAGUGGUGUGAGGGAUAGGUUUGGCAUUUUUGGCACCGUUACUAGAUUUAGAGAACUUAGUCUACUUUUAGUAAUGAUGUUAAGAAUACCCAAGAAGCAUUUUUGGCGCCGUUGCCAGGGAAGGUUGAUUACUAAUCAGGAAUGGAAUAAAAGAUUUUGAGUUAUCAUUCGCAUCACUAAUAUGAUUGAGCUUAUUUAUUCUCUCAUACAGUUUUACCCCGAUAUUUUUUUAUUUUAUCUUAUGCAGGGGAAUGUAUGAAUAGAAGACAUCUUCCAGGAAAUUUUGUUGACGAUCCUGAAGCAUUAUUCAAGAAGACGAGAGCCAAGCUAAAGAAAUCAUCAACACUUCAGCAAGAAGCUUCAUCUAAUCAAGAAGAUCACCGGAACUUGUCUUCAGAGUUCGAAGCCAUGGCGAACAAAUCAAUCCGCGAGUUCUCAGCUCCCACUACGGACAACAUCCGCACUGGACCUGCUGCAGAGAUCGAUGGCAACUUUGAGCUCAAGCCUGGACUUAUCAACAUGGUGCAAUCCAACCAGUUCUGUGGGAAGGCACACGAAGAUGCUAGUGCUCAUUUACAACACUUCCUGGAGAUUUGCAACACAUUCACCAUAGCAGGAGUUUCCAAAGACGCUAUACUACUUCGCCUCUUCCCAUUCUCACUGUUAGGAAGAGCGAAGCAGUGGUUCUACGCUACAAAGGAGAAGAAUACUACGUGGGCACUCUGCUCAACAAACUUCCUGGCUAAGUUCUUUCCCAUGGGCAAGACCAAUGCUCUCCGUGGGAAGAUUACAAGUUUUCAGCAACAAAAUGAUGAAUCUGUUCCAGAAGCAUGGGAGCGCUUUCAAGACUACGUCCUAGAAUGUCCCCAUCAUGGAAUGGAGAGUUGGCUAUUGAUGCAGACAUUUUAUCAUGGGCUCGGCAACAGUGCCCGAGAGACCAUGGCUGCUGCAGCUGGAGGAGCAUUCUUAUCACUUACCAUAUCACAAGCCACAGCUCUUGUGGAGAAGAUGGCGUCCAACCAAAGCUGGAAUGAAGAGAGGACCCAGACACGCAAGAGAGGUGGAGGUAUGCAUCAGCUGAAGGAGGUAGACAUGCUGUCUGCAAAGCUAGACCUGCUCAUGAAGAAGCUCGACGAUAGAGCUGGAGACAAGAAAGAAGUUAUGCACAUCUACGACUCUCACAUGACUUGUGAGGAGUGUGGAGACACUGGACACUCAGGCAAUCACUGCCCUGAGAUGCUUGAGGAUGUGAACUACAUCAACAACAACAACUACUACUACAACCGUCCUCAACAAAAUCAAGGUUGGAAUCAACAGAGGCCUAACUACUCAGGUAAUUAUCAAGGUAACAAUUCUUACAACAAUAAUAAUAAUUUUCCACCUUUGAGAGAGUUAGUGUCUAAUCAAGGAAAGCUAAUGGAUAACCUAUCUAAGAAAUUGGCAUCUAGUGAUAAAAUGCUAGAAAAUAUAAAUAAUAGAAUGGAUAAUUUCUCUACUGCCAUCAAGAAUCAAAUUAGCUUUAAUAAAAUGAUUGAAUCUCAGUUAAAUCAAAUAGUCGCUGCUGUUCCUGCUACUAACCCCGGUAUACCAUCACAACCGGAAGGAUUAGAAUCUGCAAAUCUUGUAGACGUGUUUGAUGCAGGUAAUUGGAGUAACCCCAUCAAUGAAUUUUCUACUGACCUUCUGCCGGUCAAGAGAGGCGAUCCAGGACGCCCCGUCAUCCCGAUCUCUAUCGGCAUGGUGGAUAUCCCAGAAGCACUCUGCGACUUUGGCUCCAGUGUCAACAUUAUACCCAGGGUACUCUAUGAGAAAUUCUUUACAUAUCCUUUAUUAGAGACAACCAUGUGUUUGCAGUUUGCAGAUCAGACGAUAACUUUCCAAACGGAAUAGUGGGAACCUUUGUGUCCGAGUUGGUACCUUGUAUGCCCCAGCAGACUUCGUAGUGGUAGAGACCGGAAAUGAUGAGAGAGCACCUAUCAUCCUAGGGAGGCCAUUCUUGAACACCACGGGAGCUAUCAUCUACGCUAGUGCUACCAAGAUCAGUUUCUAUGUCAAAGUGAAGAAGGAGACAUUUUUCUUCAAGAACAAGACUACACAAAUUCAAGAUCAAUCCAGACGUGAAUCAAGGAAGAGGACCAACAAGAGGAACAGGAACAAGCAAGUGUGGACCGAGUCAGCUAAGAUGGUCACUGUAGUCCAUGGAGGCCAAGAUCAUCAACUUAAGUCACCGUUUUUGAGCAAGAAGGACGACCCAGGAAUGCCAAGCAUCUACUGCUCUAUAAAUGGAUACAACUUCUACAAGACGAUUUGCGACACCGGACCGGGCGUCAACAUAAUGGCCGCAGUCACCUAUCGGCUCUUGUUCGGGACCAUGCCACUAAGACCAACAUACAUUCAGCUCCAGAUGGCAGAUCAGACAUGUCGAGAAGUUAAAGGAAUAGUAUCUAAUGUCCCAGUCAAAAUAGACGAUCACUUUGUCUACACAGACUUUCAAGUUGUUGACAUGGGAGAAGAUGAGUAUGAUCCACCCAUCAUCCUUGGAUGACCCUUCCUCAGCACCGUUAAAGCAAUUAUCUACAUUGGAACCGGAGAAGUCCAUAUGCACUUCCCCUCAGAGAAGGUACGCCGUUAUUUUAUUGACCCUGACUAUAUCAUUGAAGAAUCUAAGCAUGUCAGAAAAAGACGCAACCGCAACCAGAGGAGGCAGAUCAUCAAGGACGGAUGGGCAGACUAUGAAGGAGAAGUUGUAAGGUCAGAAGACGUUGAAUUUAAACAGAAUUAUCCAGAGGAGAUCGAAGCACCGAGUCAGGUAUGGAAAAUGAAGAUAACUAUACUAGAAGAGGAGGCGCUGCCGGAAGUACCGACUACGACACCCAACGAACCUCAGGACAAUUAAGAAAUUGGAGAGUCCCGUUCGGAGGACUUAAAAACACCGAACGCCUUGCCAAGAGGUAAAGUUGGUAGUUAUCCUUUCCCUUUCAGUUAUUUCAAAUAGUUUACUUAGUUAAUCAUAUUCACACUAUCUUAAAAAGAAAAUAAAAAUGUGAAAAAACAGUAAGCCCUAUGUGAGUAGACGAGUGGCAUAAAACCCAUAAGUACAUUCACUGUGGUGGCAUAAAAAUAAAAUAAAUAUUUUCUGCUUUAUAAAACAAAAAUAUAAAAACAGGGAGUAAUAUUUAUUAAGGAGUCUCAAGAUAAUAAAGGCUAGAUAUUUAUGCUAACACUUAAUAAGUUCCACAAGCUUUGUUGUCUAUUUGAGCUCCACAGAAAUUUAAGAAUCAAGAAGACUAGCAGACGGAGGACAUUCUAAUCGCUGUCAGAAUGCUGCUGACUUUCAAAUACACCUCUACCACCUGCUAGCUACACCAAGAGAAAUUACGUCAAAAUUCAGCUUGGGGGAGAGCACCCCCAUUUAUCUCGAUAAGUAUUUCUAUCUAUCUAUCUUUAUACUUAUAUUAUUUUAGAAUAUUAAAAUACACAUAAACUAUGGGAAAACCAAAUAAAGAUUUUAUGCUUAUAUAUGUCUUUUGCUUAGUGUGUUUAAUAAAUAAAUAAAGUGGCUAUGCUAAUCUGUAUCUAAAUAAAACUUAAGCAUGGAUAUGAUGAAUAGUUGCUCUGCCUAAUUUGCAAAUUUUAAGUUCUCUCUCAAGUUUAGAUAUAACUGUUAUAAUUUAAAGCUUGCUCUAGACCUAAACUUGUGGGAUGAAAACUUGAUCUGAAGUCUAAGUUGUUAACGGAUAUGAUAUGGGAAGGUUGAGCUGCUGUUUAUCUGUUCCUAGUGAUGCUAGAAUUCUGGAGAAUUUUAUCUUUGAAAAUCUUUAAAAUGUUGCAUGAUGAGUUCCUGUAUGAUGAGAGUUUAAAUUCCUACCACAGCCAUAUAUACAUGCUUGCUAGACUUUGAGCCACACAUUUAAUAUUUACUGCUUAUGAGCAUUGAGUGUGGUCAAGCUGUGUAGACCCUUAGGAGCUUGUCAUGUGGUUAAAUCAAGAUUCACUUGCACGUUCACUCAUAUAUGCUACUUCUACUCCAGAAGUACCAUCCACAUAUAUCCACCCAUUCCAUCUCUAGAAUCACCCAAAAAUAUUCUACACCUAAUCCGGGAGGGAAUAACCAAAAAUAUUUCUAUUUUCCCCUUGUGAAAUAAAUGCUCAAGUUAUCUUGUUACUACCACUUGCUAUAUUAUCUCAAGAGAUGAGUGCUCUAAAAAAAGAGAAAAAAAAUAUACGAGGAAAUAAAAAGGAGCAAGUGCUCGGAACCUCGAAAGAAAAGAAAAAGUGAGACGAGAGGUAAAAAUGGACAAGUGUCCGACAGUAGAAUUAGGGGUGCAAGAUACCCACCUGAGAGAAAAGAAAAAAAAGAAAAAAAGAAGAGCAUCUCAUUCUCCUCAUAAAAUUUCAAAAAGCAAGGAAGGUAUGUAUCCCCUCAAAAGAGCAAAGUAGAAUUAGACUUUCACCAUUGUUAUCACCAUCACCACCAUACACCAUUCAUUCGCCACCCAUGCACAUCUUGAUUAAACUUAUUGGCUUGUUACUUUGGAUCCAUGGUUUGACUAUGCAAUAAAUGUCUUGUAAGUAUGUAUAUUUUAUCUCCCACCUAUGAGCUCUAGAUAUUAAAGCCUUAUUAGAGUAGGGAGAAAGAGAAGGCAAUGUCACUAUGCCUUAUACCACAAAUACUACAUAUCUUGAGAGAAGGCAUAUACCAUCAAUGCCUUGGUAAGGAUCCAAAAAUACCACAAAAGAGAGACCUGAGAGAAUCAUACAAGGAAUUUCUGAGUUUUAUUUGAAAAUCUGCAAAAACCCCAGAGCUAUAGCUGAUCAAGAAUAAGAGACAUGGCACUUGGCUAGACGUUCUAUCUUUUAACCACUCAAGACAGAAGUGACAGUUACAAGUCCCAUGGUGUAGGUAAAGUAAGUAAGUUUUAAGUCUUGACAGUUUACUCUAACUCAGAGAUGAGAUCUUAUUUAAAAGCAUGUGUACCGUCAAAAUUUUAAAGAUAUUGCAACAACUUAUGAUCCAUAGCUGAGUCUAUCCUUGCUCAGGGACGAGCA
rnacentral:lncRNA from 1 species